AACAAGCAUCAGUUCAGGCAGCGCAGUGACACAGUUCGAGAAAUUCAGCUUUGUUCUUUCAGUAUCACAACUUUGCAAGUCCACUAGUACCACAAAUCAGCCUCCACUCUCCAGCAGCGCAGCAAGACCAAGAAGAAAAGAAGAUAUGGCUGGUCCGGCGAAGGCGUCGUGGAUGGUGGCCAUGAGCGUCAUGUACCUCAGCUGCUGGGGCCCAAAUUAGCAGCUGCCUACAUGGUACUAGUUAGGCGUGUCAGUGUUUGCUGCAACAACCAUGGCCUAUCUGGUUGGCCUUCCGUGGAAUCCCCCAUUGUAAAAUACCACGAUGAUGAUGAUGAAAAAUGCUGUUAUUUGAGCCAAUGUUUAUUUGCUUAUUUAUUAUCUUGUGAGGAAUAUGCAUACAUGCUCUGAUUUGGUUUCUACAUGCUCUGAUUUGGUUUCUACUUGCAACCCAAACAGAAGUUACACAACACUUGACAAAUCGUAGCCAAUUGUAACGGUCACCGAAUCAAGGACCUAGUGGCAGCACACUGAAUAGGUUUAGAUCCAUUUUUCAGUGUCCAACAAGAGGAUUUGGGGAUACAGGGACAGCAAGAAGAGGAGAGCAUGCGAGUUCUAUCUUAGUUCUGAAUAUCAAUCUUCAGUUAGUGCAGUGGCCCAGCCGACGGGCUCGACACAAACGUGCUGAAUUUCUUCAGUCUGCGGCACUUCGUUAAAGUGACACACGCGAUGAAUCCUCGUAUCUGUACUCAAGGUGUCAUCAAGCAACCAAUCCAUUUAUAGUACUUAUCAGUUUUGUUGGUGGACCUGCCUUCGGUUGCUUUGUUAGUACAAAGCGAGACCAAACGAGAAGUACUUCGGAUUGGUUGAAAGUACUUUCUUUUUUCUUCUUUUUUGCGCAUAGGUUGAAGAAAGUACUUUCUUUUUUCUUCUUUUUUGCGCAUAGGUUGAAGAAAGUACUUUCUUUUUUCUUCUUUUUUGCGCAUAGGUUGAAGAAAGUACUUUCUUUCUUCUUCUUUUUUGCGCAUAGGUUGAAGAAAGUACUUUCUGUGGCUCCAGUCGACCUGAUAUGCGACGAGGUCGAACGAAUAUAUUUUGAAUUUCUUUGUUGUAUAUUCGCUAAACUGACAGAGUAGUAAUUAAUUCAACUAAACAUGAUACAACUCUAGGUUAGACCACAUGUCCACAUUAAUAAAUAAACGUGCUUUCUGAUCACAGCUAUCACAGAGUGAGGCACGUCAAAGUUACUCCGUAAGGUUCCACUGAAAGAACAAGUGUUUUAUUGUUUUAUCAUCUAUAUCUAUACCAAUAUUAAAAGACCCAAACGGGCAGAUUUAAUUAAUCUUAUCCAUUAAAUCAUGUCAAUCCAACGACCUAGACUGCUUUAAUGUCGAGCGCUUAACAUGUUUAGCAUGUACUCCCUCAUUAAACUAAUAUAAGAGUGUUUAGAUCACUAUUCUAGUUUAUGGAGGGAGUAGUUAAUUUCAUGCCAAAAAUAGUGAUAAUCACGUAAUACCACGCAAAUAAUAUCUUACUUAAUAUCCGCAUGCACUUAAUAUACUUGCAAAUUAACGUGCAUUGCACGUACACAUUGACUAGUGAUGACAAAAGACACAUUACGUAUUUCCAUUCAAAUUCCUCUUAAUAACGUUAUCUUUGGUAAGAAUGACUCCUCGACGAAGAUAGCACGCAAAGAUUUUAUUCUUAAGCGGUAUCUUUAUCUUCAAUAUCUUCUUCUUAUUAUUAUCAACUGGCACAUCAGAUUUGAUCAACGCUCUAUACACUGAAUCUUCCGAGAAUUUCCCACUCCAUUUAGAUUCCACAGAAAUUCAUCGACUCCAUGUGAUAAAUGUACCGUAGCGAGACGAUUUAUCAAAUCAUCCACCAUGCAAGUCUGGGGCCUAUUAAAUCUCGUCCGAACGUCAUAUUCAGAGGAAAGGAUUCCAGAACAGAAGUUACUUCCAAUUAAUAAGCUGAUCGAUAUAAGAUAAAAAAAAUACUUACAACUAAGAUAAACAAAUUAUCCUCCAGAAACUUGUACUAAGAUAUUUGUUAGCCGCUUAUAUUAUAGAACUCUGUAGAAAAAUAUUAAAAGGUAAUAAAAUAUACGCAUAAAUAAAAUUAUUUUAUAUAUGAAUGCUCAUCUAUUGUAAAUGGUGUACUCUCUCCAAUAAAGAAUAAGUGUCUUAAAGUAGAACUACGACUCUUAUUUUGGAUCGGAAGGAGUAUCAAUUUAAAACAAAUUAUGUAUAGUAAAUUUGAUAUAUAAAAUAAUAAAAGUGUUUGGUAUAAAUAAGUUAUAACUAUUGGCGGAACCAAAGGUUUACCAGAGUGAUGGGCGACGGCAUUGCUAGAUUAGUUUGUUCCCAUUGGUCACUCUUAUGCCUAGGAGUUUGGUUCCCCCGAACCGUUCGAGUUGUUAAUUCGGUGUUUAGAAAAAUUUCGUUGUGCAGAAUCACGCACUGAUCGGUUAAUGGGGAAAGCACUGACCGAUGUUUUUGUGCAUUGUGAGUUUGGGCCAAUAAUCGGUCCUAACCGAACAACACCGAUCAUUUAAUAAUACCAGGAAAAAGUAUACAAUUUCCUCAUUUUUGGCUGAACAAAGGCUUAGGCUACAGUUUUCUCAUGUCAAAACCACAUCACCAAAUUAAAUAAGUUAUUUACUGUUUUCUAAGCAAACCACACCACCAACUUAGGUGCAAUUGAAUCAAGUUAAUCAGGACAUAAGUUAGAGUGGGAAACAAAGUUUAAGUUCGUCAGGUGCGGAGUAUCAGCAGGCGGCUGCGCAGACCAUGUAUUAUAUUUUAUACUAUCUUUUAUGAAAUAUAUAUUUUGCUCCAUCAAUUUUCAAAGUAUAAAACAAAAAUGUUGAAAAAUUCUGGUCUCCCAACUGUCAAAUUGUCCAGAGUUGCAUUUUAUCUAUUUGUUGUCUUACCAUAAAGUUGAAACGAUAAAUUUGCAUGCAUGAAAUUAAACUCAUAUUAUUCCUGACGAAAAAAAUAUGAUUCCUAACUAUUGUCAAAGCCAAAUUUGGCUUCGCAUAUUCAACACAAAAAAAAAUCUUUGUCUAUCAAGUGUUAAAACCGUCGAAAUUUUUAUUUCGUCCCAUUGAAAAGGAUUUUGACAAUGUUGUGGCAAUGGUUUUGCAUUCAUAUCACCAUAGUUUUUUUAUAUAGUUUGGGAAAGAUAUGAUAAUAGAAUAGUGUAACAUUAGAAAAAAUCGAAGCAACUAGAAAGAAAAGUAGGGAAAAACAAGUCAAAAUUUCAGACAAUUGACAAGCAAUAUGUUUAUUUUAGGAAUUUGCAAGUCUAUAUAAAAUAACAAUGGAAAUGAAGAACUUCGUGAAAAAUCGGUAAAACUGAAGGAACCUGCGAACAAUCUGGAAUAUAUCAAAAUUUAUUAAACCUAAAAUCAAUUUAAAAUGUGAAGAAUUAUGUUUCUUGAAAAAAUAAAUAUUUUGAAUUUUAUCAGAUUCCGUCAUUUUUAGAAUAUUUGUGAUAAUUACUCAAUUUCAAAAUUCCUAAAAUAUUACUUUGAUUUUUAUGUUUUUCUAAAAGUAUUUUAAUUUCCCCACUUUAUUCAUGCUGUUUUCCAAGUGUUUGAGGUGCUGCUUUCCAUGUUUAUUUGCACACUUAGCUAAACCAUGUGCAAAACUCGGGAAGAUGAGAAAUUAGAAAAGUUAAUAUUGAAAAAGCGCACGCAACUAGAAAGUAAAACUUGGGGAAAACAAGUCAAAAUUCCAUACAUUUAGUGAACAAUAUGUUUAUGAUAGGAAUUUGCAGGCCUAUAAAAAUGAUCAAAAUUGAAGGAAUUUAGACACUUAGCUACGACAUGUGCAAACCACCUCUAUGGCAACUUCAAAACCGCUUUCUAUGAAGCAGUUAAACUAUUUUCGACAAACUUGACGUUUGAUGGACAAAAAGAAAUUUGGACUAUACUUAGAGCAUCUACAGCCGCAAACACUAAAUCCGGCCCCUCAAACGACUGCGGACGUGCAUGGGUGCGUUCGUGGGCAGUGAUUAGGCAGCCCUCAAAUUUCCUUCUCUGCACCCGAAUAUCUCAUAUUUAAAACCUUAAAUACAUACCAAGUAUGCAAAACGAAAACUUGCGCACUACGUAGAUCAACUAAAUCCUACACUAUCCUAAUCCUUGUCGUCGGAGAUGUCCACGAUCUUCAUGCCAGGCAACGGGUACAUAGGCGGCAGCUGCAACUCCGUCUCCCGUGCGUCGACCUCCACCUCUAGUUUGACAGAAAGCAUGUCGGUCUUUGCUUGUUUCUGCCGGAUGAAGCGCCGGUUGGCAUCCACAUCGGACUCCAGGAUGGUGGUAUGCUCCGCCAUCUAUGUUGCUUGGGCGAUCUCGAACUCCGCCAUGGCGCCUUCCAUGACAAAGCCCGCAACCAGCUUCAGCUCCGCCGCGUACUCCUCCGGCCCAUCCGGAUCCGUCCCCACCAUGGGUCUGGCUGCUGCUCCUCCUCCGGAUCCGGCGAGUCCAGAGGUAGGCCGGUUGCGAGCCGGGCGACGUGCCUAGCCCAAAUCCCCUCGAGCAGCUAGAAAUGCCGCUCCGGAGUUAGCAUAGUGUAUGUGGUUUUUUUCUUCUGCCGGGUCAUGGGGAGACAGACGGCGAGGGAAAAGAGAGGCGGAGAGGGAGAGAAGUGGAUGGGCUCGGGCUGUCGGCACGGAGAGGGAGGAAGCGGAUGUGGCUAGGGCUGCGAGACCUUUGAACAGCUUAAAUAGCAGGAUUUUGGCCCUCUCGCAGCGAGCCGGAGCGGCGCCAUGCGACAUUCACACCCCCACCGAAGGAGACGCAUGUUGGACCGUCGGGUUUCCGGACAAUUACAUGUGGGACCCGAUCGUCAGUUCGACACGGCGACCGUGUCCUGGCCGCCCCAUACCUGCUCCAGAAUUGGUCCGAAUAUGAGAGAAUGCCGGUCAGCCUGGGCAUUUGACAUCGGUUUGAGGCAUCCGAGUGGGUUGGAUUUUUUUGAUCCGGUCAGUGACCGGGACGCCAGCCGGACGCUUGAGACAGUUUUGAGGGACCAUAGAGGCUCUUGGUCGAGUGACCAUGGAUGCUAUUUGUAAGACGAUUACUUUUUAUUCUCGCAAUAAAAUUUGAUUCUGCUCACUGAAUAUUGACACACGUUAUCUAUGCCUCAUUCCGAUCUUAUUUCUGUCGGCGUGUGUCAAAGCGAAACUCUCGCAAUGGACAAAAACCGCUACUUCCACGGCAAAUAAACAAAACGACACGGCAGCGAUAGGUGUGACGUGCACAAGCAGAGUAGCAGCAGAGUGACCCCUCCGAAAGCACCCGGUAUCCCUGAAAACCAACGUCCGCGACCACUGUUUUGCUGCAGACAUCCCAAGCCUCCCUCCUGUAUAUAACCUCGUUCCAAUCCCACUCUUCCUCUCAUCAACAAAUUACACAAGCAUCAAUCAGCCUUCAGCUCAAAAUUCAUUCCAUACUCCACACUCGACUGCUAGCUACCAAUCUCCAGGCAUCACAUAGUUCGGACGGAUCAAGCAGUUGUACUGCCUCCACCAACGCAGAGAAAGAUCAUGGCGGGUGCGGCGAAGGCGUCUUGGAUGGUGGCGAUGAGCGUGGGCGCCGUGGAGGCCCUCAAGGAUCAGGCUGGACUCUGCCGCUGGAACUACGCGCUCAGGUCCAUCCACCGGACUGCCAAGGCCAGGGCCAACGUCCACGGCGCCGUCUCUCAAGGCUCCAAGCAGCUUCCGGCCUCCGCCGCAGCCGUGGCGGAGAAGCAGCGAGCCGAGAAGGCCGAGGAAGGGCUGAGGACGGUGAUGUACCUCAGCUGCUGGGGGCCAAAUUAGCAGCUGCAGCUUGGUACAGCAGCUGCAGCUUGGUACUAGCUAGGCGUGUUAGUGUUUGCUGCAACAACCAUGGCCUGAAAUCUGUCUGGCUUCCCGUGGAAUCCCCCGUUGCAAAAUACCACCACAAUGAUGAUGAUGAAAAAUGAUGUUACUUGAGCCCAUGUCUAUUUGCUUAUUUAUGAUCUUGGUGAGGAAUAUGCAUACAUGCUCUGAUUUGGUGUCUGCUUACAACCCAGCAAAUUGUGACGGUCAACGGGUCAAGGACCUAGUGGCAGGACACUGAGUAGGGUCAGAUCAAAUUUUCAGUGUCCAACAAGAGGAUUUGGGGAUACAGGGACAGCAAGAAGAGGAGAGCAAGUGAGUUCUAUCUCAGUUCUGAAUACCAAUCUUCAGUUACAUACAGUAGGCAUCAGCCUCCAACCUGGACACGGCCACCUCACGCACACGCAACACAAUGAUUUGCUAAGCAGGCUGGGUUGUCUCCGUUUCCCUUCGAUCUUUAGUUAAUACAGUGGCCCGGCCCACGGGCGCGACACAAACAUGCUGAAUUUCUUCCAUCUGCGGCACUUUGUUAAAGUGACACACGCGAUGAAUCCUCGUAUCUGUGCUCAAGGUGUCAUCAAUCAACCAAUCUAUUUACUGUACUUAUAACUUAUAAGUUUUGUUGGUGGACCUGUCUUCGGUUGCUUUGUUACUCCAAAACGAGACCAAACGAGAAGUACUUUGAAUUAGGUCAUGGCGAAUAUGUUCUGAAUUUCUCCGUUGUAUAUUCGCUAAACUGACACAAUAGAAACAUGAUACCUCUUCAGGUUAGACCACAUUAAUAAGUAUCACAGAGGGAGGCACAUCAAAGUUACUCCGUAUCUUGAACUAAAAAAAGUUACUCCGUAUCUUUCUACCAGCAAUUUUGGAUUUUUCCCUAGGGCCAUGAAACCAAAAGAGAAGAAAAAUAAAUAAAAUCAGACUUUCAGAUAAUAGGUACAAUCGGCUGCACAGUAGUUCCUUCCAAUUAAUUAAGCUGAUUGAUAACUAACUGUCCUUGGCUCGGGCCAGUGCCGCGGAAGUUCUGCUUCCCGUCUCUCUUCAAACACUCGAGGCGUAAGGGCAGAACUGUGGCACAAGCUAUCACUGACGACCGCUGGGUCUUGGACCUUGCACACGGCAACAACAGCAACCUUGUCAGCGAGGUUCUUGAUCUGCAUCGUCUCAUUCAGCGCCGGCAGCUCAACUUCCAGGCCGAAGAUCAGGACCAGAUCCGCUGGAACUUGGAGGGAUCAGGUCAGUACAGCUCCCGCUCGGCCUACGCCCUCCAGUUCUUGGGCUCGACGACGGGCAUGUUCCAGGCCAUGAUCUGGGCCAUCUGGGCUCCGGCGAAGCUUAAGAUGUUUGCGUGGCUCCUCCACCAGAACCGGCUGUGGUGCAAUGACCGUCUCCAACGUAGGGGCUGGCCAAACUCCUACUUUUGCCAGCUCUGCCUCAGGAACCUGGAGACCUCGGCUCAUCUGUUCUGGAGCUGCCCGUUCACGAAGACAGUAUGGACUAGCUUGUCCUCUUGGCAGCACUGCCAGGGGCUAAGUAAGGCGUGUCUGCCCAACGAAUGCAGCUCCCUGGAAAAGGUCGAAGCCAUGGUUUCAGCAACAGGGCCAGCACAUGCGAAAGGAAUCAAGUCGCUGAUCAUGCUGGUGCUUUGGAAAAUCUGGCAAGAGCGCAACAACCGCGUUUUCAGAAAGAAAGAGGCUACGGUGCAAGCGGUGAUCAAUGACAUCAGGAGAGAGCUCUGUCUUUGGCAACAGGGCGGUUUCAAAUCCAUUCUGAGCCCCUUCGGGGAUCCUCCAUGAGAUAGUAGUCUUAGAUCCGGGUGCCUCAGGCACCAAGGCUUUUUCCUUCUUUUUGUUUACCUCCUUGAUCCCAGGAUCAUCGCCUUUGUCACUUUGUCAUCUGCUCCCUGCUUAACCAAUGAAACCCCAGCCAUGGCUGGCUCGUUCAAAAAAAAAACUAACUGUCCUCCACAAAGCUUUACUAAGAUAUUUGUUAGCCGCUUAUGUUAUAGAACUCUAUAGCAAGAUAUUCAAAGAUAAUAAACUAGACACAUAAAUAAAAUUAUGUUGUAUAUGAAUGUUCAUCUAAUUUUCCUCUUAUAUGGAUGGAAUUUAACUUACUUAAAAGUCCCAAACAUAUUUGGAAAAAAUAAUAGAAGUUUUACAACAAAUUGGAGUUGCUUUGUCAUUAUAGUAAUCUCAAUAGUUUUUUUAUAAUAUUUAACUCUAAGUUACUACUUGGGGUUCAUGUUGUUAGGUAUAGUAGACAUUUUUUUUGUAAAUGUUGUACUCUCUCCUAUCAAACAUAAGUGUCUUAAAAUAAAACUAUGACACUUAUUUUGGAUCGGAAGGAGUAUCAAUUUAAAAUAAAAUUAUAUAUAGUAAAUUUGAUAUAUAAAAUAAAUAAAGUAUUUGGUAUAAGUAAGUUAUCUGGCGGACGACGAGGAUGCUAGCCAUGACGGCUGCGUCCCGGCGGACGACGAGGUUGGUGCCGCCCAUGGUGGCUGCAUCUCGGCGAACGACGAGGUUUGUGCCGCCCAUGGUGGAGGACCGGGCGGAAGUGGAGGCCGACCAGAUGGAGGGGGUGGUGGUUGCUACCUCUUGAGCAUGCGUUGGUUUUCCCUUGAAGAGGAAAGGGUGAUGCAGUAAAGUAGCGUAAGUAUUUCCCUCAGUUUUUGAGAACCAAGGUAUCAAUCCAGUAGGAGGCCACAUGCAAGUCCCUCGUACCUACACAAACAAAUAAAAACCUUGCAACCAACACGAUAAAGGGGUUGUCAAUCCCUUCACGGCCACUUGCAAAAGUGAGAUCUGAUAGAGAUGAUAAGAUAAUAUUUUUGGUAUUUUUAUGAUAAAAAUUAAAAGUAAAGAUUGCAAAAUAAACGGCGACAGAAAUAGCUAGUUGACAGGAGAUUAAUAUGAUGGAAAAUAGACCCGGGGGCCAUAGGUUUCACUAGUGGCUUCUCUCAAGAUAGUAUAAGUAUUACGGUGGGUGAACAAAUUACUGUCGAGCAAUUGAUAGAAAAGUGCAUAAUUAUGAGAAUAUCUAGGCAUGAUCAUGUAUAUAGGCAUCACGUCCGCAACAAGUAGACCGACUCCUGCCUGCAUCUACUACUAUUACUCCACACAUCGACCGCUAUCCAACAUGCAUCUAGAGUAUUAAGUUCAUAAGAACAGAGUAACGCAUUAGGCAAGAUGACAUGAUGUAGAGGGAUAAACUCAAGCAAUAUGAUAUAAACCCCAUCUUUUUAUCCUCGAUGGCAAUAAUACAAUACGUGUCGUUUCCCCUUCUGUCACUGGGAUCGAGCAACGCAAGAUUGAACCCAAAGCUAAGCACUUCUCCCAUUGCAAGAAAGAUCAAUCUAGUAGGCCAAACCAAACUGAUAAUUCAAAGAGACUUGCAAAGAUAACCAAUCAUACAUAAAAGAAUUCAGAGAAGAUUCAAAUAUUGUUCAUAGAUAAUCUUGAUCAUAAACCCACAAUUCAUUGGAUCUCGACAAACACACCGCAAAAAGAGUUACAUCGAAUAGAUCUCCAAGAAGAUCGAGGAGAACUUUGUAUUGAGAUCCAAAUAGAGAGAAGGACCCAUCUAGCUAAUAACUAUGGACCCGAAGUUCUGUGGUAAACUACUCACACAUCAUCGGAGAGGCUAUGGUGUUGGUGUAGAAGCCCUCCGUGAUCGAUUCCCCCUCCGGCGGAGUGCCGGAAAAGGCCCCAAGAUGGGAUCUCGCGGGUACAGAAGGUUGCGGCGGUGGAAAUAGGGUUUCAUGGUGCUCCUCGAUGGUUUCGGGGUACAUGGGUAUAUAUAGGAGGAAGAUGUAGGUCGGUGGAGCCACGAGGGGCCCACGAGGGUGGGGGCGCGCCCGGGGGGGGGGAGGGAGGUGCGCCUCCCUGCCUCGUGGCCUCCUCGUUGAUUUCUUGACGUCCACUCCAAGUCCUCUGGAUCACGUUUGUUCCAAAAAUCACACUCCCGAAGGUUUCAUUCCGUUUGGACCUGCUUGGUAUUCCUUUUCCGCGAAACACUGAAAUAGACAAAAAAACAGCAAUUUGCACUGGGCCUUGGUUUAGUAGGUUAGUCCCAAAAAUAAUAUAAAAGUGUAUAAUAAAGUCCAUUAAAUAUCCAAAACAGAAUAUAUAAUAGCAUGGAGCAAUAAAAAAUUAUAGAUACGUUGGAGACGUAUCAGUGGUGUCGCGCCGUGCGCCAGCGUUGGGUGAUCGAUAAGACCCAAAGACGAAGACGGUGGCGUCGGGCCGUGCGAAACCAGAGGCAUCGGGCGCGCGUCAGUGCCGCAUGAUGAUGGUGAUGGCAUGCCAUAGGGAUGGUCAUUCGGCGCUGGGGCCGUCUGGCUGUGGUGGUGAACCUGCGGUGGUCGGCCUGUCUUGCCGUGCUGGUUGUGCGGUGUGUUGGAAAUAUGCCCUAGAGGCAAUAAUAAAUGGUUAUUAUUAUAUUUCUUUGUUCAUGAUAAUAGUCUAUUGUUCAUGCUAUAAUUGUAUUAUCCGGAAAUCGUAAUACAUGUGUGAAUACAUAGACCACAAUAUGUCCCUAGUAAGCCUCUAGUUGACUAGCUCGUUGAUCAACAGAUAGUCAUGGUUUCCUGACUAUGGACAUUGGAUGUCAUUGAUAACGGGAUCACAUCAUUAGGAGAAUGAUGUGAUGGACAAGACCCAAUCCUAAGCAUAGCAUAAAAGAUCGUGUAGUUUCGUUUGCUAGAGCUUUUCCAAUGUCAAGUAUCUUUUCCUUAGACCAUGAGAUCGUGCAAGUCCCGGAUACCGUAGGAGUGCUUUGGGUGUGCCAAACGUCACAACGUAACUGGGUGACUAUAAAGGUGCACUACGGGUAUCUCCGAAAGUGUCUGUUGGGUUGGCACGGAUCGAGACUGGGAUUUGUCACUCCGUGUGACGGAGAGGUAUCUCUGGGCCCACUCGGUAAUGCAUCAUCAUAAUGAGCUCAAUGUGACUAAGGCGUUAGUCACGGGAUCAUGCAUUGCGGUACGAGUAAAGAGACUUGCCGGUAACGAGAUUGAACAAGGUAUUGGGAUACCGACGACCGAAUCUCGGGCAAGUAACAUACCGAUUGACAAAGGGAAUUGCAUACUGAUUGAUUGAAUCCUCGACACCGUGGUUCAUCCGAUGAGAUCAUCGUGGAACAUGUGGGAGCCAACAUGGGUAUCCAGAUCCCGCUGUUGGUUAUUGACCAGAGAGGCGUCUCGGUCAUGUCUGCAUGUCUCCCGAACCCGUAGGGUCUACACACUUAAGGUUCGGUGACGCUAGGGUUGUAGAGAUAUAUGUAUGCGGAAACCCGAAAGUUAAGUUGUUCGGAGUCCCGGAUGAGAUCCCGGACGUCACGAGAGGUUCCGGAAUGGUCCGGAGGUGAAGAAUUAUAUAUAGGAAGUCAAGUUUCGGCCACCGGGAAAGUUUCGGGGGUUACCGGUAUUGUACCGGGACCACCGGAAGGGUCCCGGGGUCCACGGGGUGGGGCCACCUAUCCCGGAGGGCCCCGUGGGCUGAAAGUGGAAGGGAACCAGCCCUUAGUGGGCUGGGGCGCCCCCCUUGGGCCUCCCCCCAUGCGCCUAGGGUUGGGAACCCUAGGGGGGGAGCUUCCCCCUUGCCUUGGGGGGCAAGGCAACACUUUCCCCUCUUUGGCCGCCGCCCCCCCUUGGAGAUCCCAUCUCCCUGGGCCGGCGCCCCCAGGGGGCCUAUAUAAAGGGGGGGGGAGGGAGGGCAGCAACCUACAGCCUUGGGCGCCUCCCUCCUCCCCUGCAACACCUCUCUCUCUCUCGCAGAAGCUCGGCGAAGCCCUGCCGGAGAACCGCUACAUCCACCACCACGCCGUCGUGCUGCUGGAUCUCCAUCAACCUCUCCUUCCCCCUUGCUGGAUCAAGAAGGAGGAGACGUCGCUGCACCGUACGUGUGUUGAACGCGGAGGUGCCGUCCGUUCGGCACUCGGUCAUCGGUGAUUUGGAUCACGGCGAGUACGACUCCGUCAUCCACGUUCAUUGGAACGCUUCCGCUCGCGAUCUACAAGGGUAUGUAGAUGCACUCCCUUCCCCUCGUUGCUAGUAUACUCCAUAGAUGCAUCUUGGUGAACGUAGGAAAAUUUUAAAAUUAUGCUACGAUUCCCAACACGGUGGUCGGCCCGUUUGGAUGUGGCGUUGAGGGUGCUGAGAGUUGGGGGGAAACGACUGACCAUGGUGGUGGAGGAGGCCGUGGUCCUGACCGUACUGAAAGCGAGGGGCAGGUUGAAUCUGUGGUCGGAGAAGAGAAGGCGGUGCCAGAAGGAUUUGGUCCUGAAAGUGUUGGGCCGGGAGAAUCGGCGGCGCGGGCAGGAAGUUGGGACAAAGGUGAUCAGGGUGGACGCGUGGGGACGCGGCAGCAGCAUAGGACUGCCAGUGGCCGCCACAUGGCUGCCGGUGUGGGAGGGAAAGCUCGGAGCAUCGUAAGAUUUUGGGAAGGGGUUUUCUGAAUGGAUCCCCACCCCACAAAGGUGGAGGCGUCUUUGAAGCGUUCGGGGUGCGGGUGCAUGGAGCCAGACAGUAUAGCGAGCGAACUGCGAGGUGAAAAGCCUGACUACUUUUUCCUUUUCUUUUGGGGAGGGUAAAAGCAUUGCUAACAGUGGAUGCUAUCUUCUCCUAUCACUCUGUCUGUACUCGGUUUUUACCGUACAUCCUUCAAAGUACAUCCCUGUAUAUAACCUCCUCUUAGGGGGCGUUUGGUUUACAGGCUAUUCACCAUAGGGACAGGGAUAGACAAUUUUUUAGGGGAUAUCACUUGUUUGGUUUACUAGCCAGGAGGGAUAGGGAUAACCAGAUACUAGCGAAUAUUCCUUCAAAACGUGGUUGACGGGAGUCACGAGAUUAUGGCGGAUGAGGGCAGCCACCCGCGCUUGCGUGAAACGUUUUCCCAUGCGCGCCCUCUGUCGCGUGUCCGUGGCAAUCGGCCCGGCGGCGCUCUCGGAUGCCUCCGCCGCUGGCACACCACAGCCCACGCCGGCGCCCUGCUUGGCCGUCGGCCAAGGCCCUGCUCCUCGAGACGAGGCGAGCCGCGGGUGCUCCAUCCUUUCCAGGCAACUCGCCUCCCACUCUCGGCCAUGGCCCCUACCUCCAUCAACCCCCCUCUCUCGGCCUGUUGUGACCGUGGCUGGCGGGGAACGGGGAGCUCCGGCGGCUGGGAACGAGGAUCACUUGAGAUCUUCCAGCGGACACAUGUGACGCAGAUGGGGAGACCUCUGGUGGUGGGGAACAAGGAGAUCUCCUGUGGUUUGGAACGAGGAGAGCUUGCCUAUCUGUUGUCUAUAUGUAUGUGACAGUCUUUCAACUCUCCCGUUUUCUCGACAGGUAGCACAUAUGAACACUACUGAUUUAAUAGUAUGGACAAUCACCUGUAUGAUUGUACAAAGAAGAACAUGUAUACAUGUAUGAAUAUUUGGUAAAAAAAUUCGACAAAGGGUGGAUUUUAUUAACUCAAAAUGAAGGAUCAAGGGGAUACAAACACAUUGAGCACACACCCGGCCUCUGCAUAACCAGGAUGCACACAGCCAACACCAACACACACAAAAGAGAAAAAAAACGCCAGCAAAGAGCAAAGUCAUACAAGACUCAAGCUAUGCCUAAGCGAGGGAAAAGAAAAAGGAAAAAACACUCUGAAACGAUCAAAACAACGGUUGAUAAACUACAUCAACGACCAUAUCCGCACCAACCAUCUCUUGACAGAACAAGCGCAACGAGAAAGUUUCUUCAACAGCAACGCCUUCAGGAAGGAAACGACGCUUAAACGUCGCCGUCACUGGACCCGACCAACAAAGGUCAGACUCUAGGUUUUCACCCCGAAGAACAAGUCUGAGCACAUCCGAGCAAUGCCUUCAUCAAGGUAACGACGCAAAAACAUCGGCAUCGCCAGGUAUAACCAAUUCAGGCCAGACCUAGGGUUUUCACCCCGGAACUCGAGACCGGGUACUCGAGAAGCACCACCAAAUCAAAGUCAUCAUGUUGUCGCCACCACUUUCCGCGAUCCCAGCAGCUAAAGGUGAGGCACAGUCUUUACAUGCCGGCAUGGCUUGCCGCUGCACAACCAUCUCCUCUGCGUCAAGCCGUCGUCCAUAGAAUUUAUCUCACCGCUGAAUGCAAACUGGCCGGAUUGAGAGCCACCGAAACUCCCAAUGGAGCCUUCCGGUUACAUCACACAACCUCGCCAGUGCGAGCUGCUGGCAAUAACCAAUGGAUCCUAAGAAAAAACUCUCAUGAAGACCCUUGAAUGGCCACUGCAAUCUGCGGCUCGAGUGGCCGGACGGUGCCGCCAUGGUCAGGAUGAAAAUUGCCCCCUCGCAUCGAUCGGACGAACCACCUGCGGCCAAGUGACAAGCAUCGGUCAACCGAUGUAAGUCCCAAGGCGCCACCACCAACCUCCUUCGGCCUUGUGAUCUGUCGGCGGCAACAGCGGCGAGCGUCUUGGGUCGCUUGGGAAGAUGACCCUUAUCACCAACGCUGCCAUGCUCUGGACAGCCGGAGGAAGCUUCGGUCCGAACCUGCAUGAUCUUGACCGCAGGCUGCUGGAGGAGAAUGGAUGGUCAUCUCCACCCAGGCCAUUGCCAAGGCAUCACUAUGCUGCCCAGUUCAGAUUCCCAGAUCGCUCUAGCCAUUGACCUAUGCAUGUCCCUGUGCACAGAUCGCCUGCCGCUGCAUGUCCAUGCGCAGAUCGCUCUAGCCUUCGGACGUUGCAUGAAGAUCGCUGCUGAGUUGUUGUUCACCUCGCGCGCCGUUCAGCGCCUUGCGUAGAAGCCAUCGCCCGGAGCCCCGCUGCCGCCGUCAGCCACACAGGCUUUGCUCGGCAGCGUCGUUCGGCGGCGGCGAGGGAAGCGAGAGAGGUGGGGAGGUCCCGAAGAAACAUGAAUAUUUGGUAAAUAGUGACCAGUUCAUGGUAUUUGAUUGUAUGGACAGUCACGUGUAUGAUUGUACAAAGAACAUGUAUACACGUAUUUGAUUGUGCAAAGAGGAACAUGUAUAUAUGUAUUUGAUAUACAAAGAAGAGCAUGUAUUAAUAUUGCGUUGUAGAAGAACAUAAAAAAAUAACUAAUGACUAUCCAUAUCCACCUUUUAUCCUUGCAACCAAACAAUAAAAAGCGGUUAUCCAUCUCAUCUAAUCUUUCGCAACCAAACGACAAAAACUGGCUAUCCCCAACCAGGUGGUUAAGGAUAUCCUCAGCCAAGCCAACCUCGCCCGUGAACCAAACGCCACCUUAGUCCCACUCUUACUCUCGUCAACACAAGCAUCAAUCACCCUUCAGCUCAGUACAUUCACAACCACAAAGCCUGCGCUCUACACUCGACUAGUAGCUACUAAUCUUCAGUCAUCACCUAGUCUAGAAUCAACAGAUCAGUCAGCGGUGCUGUCUCCACCAACACAGAGAGGGAUCAUGCCGGGUGCGGCAAAGGCGUCUUGGAUGGUGGUGAUGAGCGUUGGCGCGGUGGAGGCGCUCAAGGAUUAGGCCGGCCUCUGCCGGUGGAACUACGCGCUUAGGUCCAUCCACUUGGUAGCGAAGGCGAGGGCCAACAUCCGCGGCGGCGUCUCCCAGGGCGGCAAGAAGCUUCCAACCUCUGUGGCGGCGGUGGCGGAGAGGCGGCGAGUGGAGAAGGAUGAGAAGGGGCUGAGGACGCUGAUGUAGCUCAGCUGCCGGGGUCCCAAUUAGCAGCUGCAACUUGGUAGUUGCUACUACCUAGGCGCGUCUGUGUUUGCUGUAACAACGAUGGCCUGAAACAUGUCUGGCUUCCCGUGGAAUCCCCCAUUGUAAAAUACCACCAUAAUGAUGAUGAUGGUGAUGAAUGAUGUUACUUGAGCUCCAUGUCUAUUUGCUUAGUUAUUAUCUUGGUGAGGAAUAUGCAUCCAUGCUCUGAUUUGGUGUCUGCUUACAACUCAGAAAGAACUUACAGCUACACUUAAACAACAAAUCAUAGCAAAUUGUAACGUUCAAUGGGUCAAGAGCCUAGUGGCAGCACACUGAAUAGGUUCAGAUCAAUUUUUCAGUGUCCAACAGGAGGAUUUGGGGUUGGGGAUACAUGGACAUCAAGAAGAGGAGAGGAGAUGCAUUCCCGGAUCCAGACCAAUCUUUAGUUACAUCAGCCUCCUACCUGGAUACAGCCAACUCAUGCACACGCAACACCACCCUUUGCUAAACAUGUCGGGCUGUCUCGGUUCCCCUUUGAUCUUCAGUUAAUGCAGUGGCCCGCCCCACAGGCUCGACACAAACAUGCUGAAUUUCUUCAGUAUGCGGCACAGGCGAUGAAUCCUCGUAUCUAUACUCAAGGUGUCAUCAAGCAACCAAUCCAUUUACAGUACUUAUCAGUUUUGUUGGUGAACCUGUCUUCGGUUGCUUUGUUAGUCCGAAACAAGACCAAACGAGAAGCACUUCGAAUUGGUUGAAAGUACUUUCUUUCUUCUUCUUUUUCGCGCAUAGUUUGAAGAAAGUACUUUCUGUGGCUCUAGUCGACCUGAUGCGCGACGAGGUCGAAUGAAUAUAUUUUGAAUUUCUUUGCUGUAUACUUUAUUCGCUAAGCUGAUACAGUAGUAAUCACUGUCCAAAAAAUCUUCCGAUUCAGCGAUUUAUCGUCCGAUUUAUCGCUACUCUUGGGGUGACCGAUAAGAUUAUGCCUUAUCUUCACCGUUUAUCGUUUGAGCCGAUUUAUCGCUAUGACAAGCGAUUUAUCAGGAAUCUGCCGAUAAAUAGGACCUAUUAAUAGCACUAUGUUUGCAAAAGUUAUGUUUAUUUGCAUUUUGUGGACCUUGUUACGCAAUAUGUAUUGUUGUGCUAUUUUGCUUGUCAUUAUAAGAGGAUUCAAAGGCUGGGAAUCAAGGUAACACUUUUGUCCAAUAUUUUUUUGGUUUUGAAUUUAGCAUAUUUUAGUAUUGGGAACCCCGAAUUUGAAAAAAAAAUGACAGAUUAAUAGUCGACCGAUAAAAUCGAUUAAUCUAUCGAUUUCCGAUUAGUCUCUAAUCCCCAGCUGACCGAGACGCUAACGCUAAGCGAUAUCCUCAACAUUGGUACUAAUUCAACUAAACAUGAUACAGCUCCAGCUUCAGAUUAAACCACAUGUGCACAUUAAUAAGUAAAUGUGCUUUCUGAUCACAGCUAUCAUAGAGUGAGGCACAUCAAAGUUACUCAAUAUCUUUCUUCUUCCAAUGAAAGAUCAACACUUUCGAUUUUGCCCUAGGGCCAUGAAACCAAAAGAGAAGAAAAACAAAUAAAAUCAGACAUUCAGUUAAUAGGUACAAUCAGGUGCACAGUAGUUCCUUCCAAUUAAUAAGCUGAUCGAUAUAAGAUAAAAAAUACGUACAACUAAGAUAAACAAAUUGUCCUCCACAAACUUGUACUAAGAUAUAUGUUAGCCGCUUAUGUUAUAGAACUCUCUAGCAAAAUAUUCAAACGUAAUAAAAUAGACGAAUAAAUAAAAUUAUUUUUUAUAUGAAUGUUCAUCUAAUUUUUCUCUUAUAUGGAUGGAAUUUAACUUACUUAAAUGUCCCAAACAUAUUUGGAAAAAUAAUAUAAGUUUAACAACAAAUUGGAGUUGGUUUGUCAUUAUUGUAAUCUUAAUGGCUUUUUUUAAUAAUAUUUAACUCUAAGUUACUACUUGGGGUUCAUGUUGUUAGGUAUAGCAGACAAUUUUUAAAAAAUGUUGUACUCUCUCCGAUGAAAAUAAGUGUCUUAAGUAAAACUACGACACUAACUUUGGAUCGGAAGAGUAUCAAUUUAAAACAAAAUUAUGUAUAGUAAAUUUGAUAUAAUAAAUAGAAGUGUUGUCUAUAAAUAAGUUAUAACCAUUGGUGGAACCAGAGAUCGAGGUUUACUGGAGUGACGGGCGAUGACAUUCCUAGAUUAGUUUGCUCCCAUUGGUCACUAUGUACGGGUGGUAUGAAUCACUACCGGAGACCCAGGGCGAUCGACUAUGCUCAACCCAGCGCUUUAUUCUUCCAUUGAUGAUAACCUUAUUUCUAAACUGCAUGCACAAUUAAAAUUGAUUAUUCUAAUCAAUCCUGCAUACUUUCAUCAUGUAUUGUGAUUCUUUUUUCGAUGCCUUAGUUAUGUCAUCAUUGUUAUCUUCAACACUAUUUAAAAAGACGUAAUAUUCCGUCUUUAGUCUUACGUCUUUUGUUUCGUCCAACCUCCCACAUCCCUGCAACCCCACAUCGUCUCCCCUUCUUUUGUCUAUCUCUGGUUUAUUUUCAUGUCACUCCCUUUCCUGGUUCGAUAGGAUGCAACCCACACACCAUAAUCAAUCACUAUCGACGCCUCCCACACUCUUCUCACUUCUCCCAACCUUGGGUUUCCAGACUCCACUACUAUAGAACCGAAUAACACCGGCAAAUCAUAACAUCAUUGCUGUGCCAACGGCCUAUCAUUAGUUCCGGGUCGGUAAUGACUUUAUCAUCACUAACAAUCCCAAUGGAAUGUGGCUGAUGAUGACUACCGUCUGAAUGGUUGGCUGAGAAACCAAAAAAGUUGGGGUACACCAGCUGCCAAAAAUGAACCAGGAUAAACCUCAGCUUUUAAAGAAGUGUUGGUUUAAAAUACCCCUUUGGUUAGAUUCCAAUUUUUUAGCCAAAAGUUGGCAGCACAAACUGAAACAAACACCAAUUGCCAAAAAAGAACUAGGAAAAACCUCAGUUUUUAAAGAAGUGUUGGUUGUUUAGAAUACCACUUUGGUUUAAAUUCCAACUUUUUUAGCCAAAAGUUGGCAGCUCAAACUGAAACAAACUCAGGCUUGUUGUCUCACUACUAUCACAGGCUUGAGGCAUCUGCCGUCGGACAUGUGCUUUUCUCGGAGUCUGUGUCGCCUCAGUUUGUCCGGAUGCGGAUGCCGGGCAUGGAGCAACUCGUUGCCUGCACGUUGUACGCCCCUCAAGCGGGUGAGCCGUCAUACGACGAUGUGGACUGACAAAUGUUGGAGAUAAGCAACCAAUCCAUUUAGUACUUAUCAGUUUUGUUGAUGGACCUGCCUUUGGUUGUUUUGUUAGUCCAAAACGAGACCAAACAAGAAGUACUUCGAAUUGGUUGAAAGUACUUUUUGUGGCUCCAGUCGACCUGAUGUACUAAUAUGUUUGGAUUCCUUUGUUGUAUAUUCGCUAAAAAAAAUUGCGGGUGUAUAUUCCCGAAACUGAAGCAAUAGUAAGUCAACUAAACAUGAUACAACUUCAGGUUAGACCACCUUAAAAAGGAAACAUGCUUUCUUUAUCACAACUAUCACAGCGAGGUACAUCAAAGUUACUCCCUCCAUUCCAUAAUAUAACAUCGUUUUGCCAACUAAAAUAGCUCGCAAAACGAUUCUAUAUUGUGGGACGGAGGGGUACUCCGUAUCUUUCUAGUUUCCACUAAAAGAGCAGCAAUUUGGAUUUUGCCCUAGGACCAUGGAACCAAAAUAGAAGAAAAAUAAAUAAAAUCAGUCAUUCAGAUAAUAGGUACAAUCAGGCGCACAGUAGUUCCUUCCAAUUAAUAAGCUGAUCGAUAUAAGAUAAAAAAUACUUGCAACUAAGAUAAACAAACUGUGCUCGACAAACUUGUACUAACAUAUUUCUUAGACGUUUAUAUUAUAGAAUUCUAUAGCAAACUAUUCAAAGGUAAUAAAAUAGACUCAUAAACAAAAUUAUUUUGUAUAUGAAUGCUACUUCUAAUUUUUCUCUGAUAUGGAUGGAAUUUAACUUAAUUAAAUGUCCCAAACAUAUUUGGAAAAUAUAAGAUAAGUUUUACAACAAAAUAGAGUUAGUUUAUCAUUAUAGCAAUGUCAAUGGUAAUUUUUUGUGGAUAAAUGUUAACUAUAUUUGGCAUUUUUGUUGUUAGGUAUAGUAGACAAAAAUUGUUGUUUUAAAAAAAGCAAUUUAAAACAAAAUAAUGUAUAGAAAAUAUGAUAUAUAAUAGAAAGUAAUUUUUUGGCAUAAAUAAGUUAUAACCCAUUAGCGAAACCAAAUCAAGUUUUGUGGAGGUGACGCACAACGACAUUCCUCGAUUAGUUUAUUCCCAUUGGUGAAUAUGUACGGGAGGUAUGAAUCUGCAUCGGAGACCAAGACAACAGACCAUGCUUACCCAAGUGGUGAAUCUGCCACUAGUGAUAAUCAUAUUUCUAAACUGUAUUAACAAUUAAAUUUGACCAUUCUAAUCGAUCGUCUAUGCUUUCACCAUGUUUUGCAAUUUUCCUCUUAAUAUGUGUUGACCUUAAUUAUGUCAUCAUUAUUAUCUUCUAACACCAUCUAGAAAGACUUAAUAUUCCGUCUCAAAUCUUAUAUCUUCUCUUUCGUGCGACCCCCCACAUCCCUGCACCCCCACAUCGUCUCCCUUUUUGUCCAUGCCCGCUUUAUUUACGUGUGCCUCCCAUUCUUGGUACGCUAGGACGCAACCCACACACCACAAUCGAACCGAUGCCUCCCUCACCCUUCUUACUACCUCCCAAUCUAGGGUUUCCAACCCCCACUACUACAGAACUGAAUAUUACUGACCGGCCAAAUCAUAUCAUCACUGAUGCGCCAACGACCCGUCAGUAGUUCCUGGACGGUGAUGACUGUAUCAUCACAAACGAGCCAGGUGGCCGGUCAAUGAAGAUGACUAGAAGCUGAAUGGUUGGUUGACAAGCCAAAAAGUUGGGGUACACCAGCCGCCAAAAAUGAACUAGGGGGAAACCUUAGCUUUUAAAGAAGUUGAUUGUUUAGAAUACCCCUUUGGUUCAGAUUUCAACUUUUUUAGCCAAAAGUUGGCAGCUCAAAGUGAACAAACACCAGUUAGCAAAAAUGAACUAGGGGAAAUCCAGCUUUUAUAGAAGUGUUGGUACCUUAGAACACCCCAGCCUUUGGUUCAGAUUCUAGCCUUUUUAGCCAAAAGUUGGCGGCUCAAACUAAAACGAACACAAGCUUGUGGUCUCACUAUCAUCACAAGAGCGUGUGGUAUUGUGGUAGAACUCUCCGGUUGAAUUUGUGAUUGUGGUGACCCUUGCGAAAUGUCAAAACAGUCAAAAUUUUGUAUUUGCCACACUGAAAGAGAUCUGAACAAUGUGGAGACAACAGUUUUGCGUACGUGACAACAUAGCUGCCACAAACAAUUGACAAAACUCAGAAAUAGAGGAAAUAAAGAAAUAAAUAUUUCAUUUUAUGGAAACUCAGCAAAUUUCAAUAAUAAGUCUAGUAAAUUUAUUAUCUUUGAGUAUUAAUGAAACAAAUAGAAAUCCAGGAUUACAUUUAGAUAAAACUUAAAAAAACAGAAGGAAAUAAACAAAAAACUCUGAUAUUCUAGAAAACAUUAAAAAUAUGAGGAUAUUAAAAUAAAAAUAGGAGAAAAUUACCACCGCUUUAUCUCAACCAAACGGCUCUGAGGGGGUUCAUUGUGACCUGCCUCCGAGGGAAUGCCAGCCAGUUAACAUAACUGAAACAGAAAGCUUCUAAUUUUCAUCUAUCUCUAUGUUUUUCAUAACAUUUUUUAUUUUUUGCAUAUUUAAAUUCCUGAAAUAUUUUAUAAUGGUUUUUCUCUUCAUAUAUUUCUUGACUGAGUCGAAUUUAUUUUCUCGCCGAGCUGCCAAGGAAUUGGCCAUGUUAGCAUUAAAAUUACUUUCAGUGAAGCAACAUGCUAAAUUGGGACGGUUCUCGUACUACGACUGUGUCAUAUAGAUGUUCAGUACUCCCUGUCUCCCUCUGCCAAAACUUAUAAGUGGCUAUUGUAGUAAAGAAAAUUUGUUUUUUCUAAGUUGUGCAUGGAUUAAAGUUCUAUAAAAUUCUUAAUUUAUUUUCAUGCCGAUAGCAAAACAGCAGUAUGAAGGAGUCAAAAUUAGAUGAUGAUUAUUAUUUCUUAUUUGAAAAUAGAAGUCUUUCUAUUUUUGAUGUGCCUGAGAAACCAUGGGAGGGCCAUUUGAAUUAUUGAUGCUAUUUCUAGGAGACAGGUUCAGUGACUCGCAAUAAGAAAUUCAAUUAUGCUCGUUGGAUCUUGACACAGGUUAUUGUCAAUGCGUCGUUCCGAUAUUAGAGCAUCUCUAGCAGACCCGCAAAAUCCCAAUCCACAUAAGUGUUUUUUGCAGUUCGUGGAAAAGUCCAUAUGCAGGCCGGCACGGGCGAGGUCAGACUCGGAUCCUGCAAAAUGGACCCGUAAAAAAGGAUAUUCGGCAAAUAUGCUCUUUUACGGGUCGGCUACGCGGGGUCUGCUCAGGCACCGCCGCGUUGACCCACAAACCGAAUACACCCAAUUCACGAAUUUGACAUCGGUUCUAACAAAUAAGUUCAAAUUCAAACAAUAGAACACAGUUCACGCGCAAAUAAAAACUUAAGUUUUGUAGGACAAACGCAAAAGAUGGUCUUGCAGAAGUGACGACCACGUCUGGCAUCAUCUUGGUCGAUCUUCACUCCGCGCCAUCGAGUCCAUGGAGUUCAUCGGAACCACCGAAUCCAUCUCCGAUGCUUGUUCCAACUCCCGCACCGAAAUCAUCGACAUUGGUUCCAAACCCCGCUGAGAAAACCUCUUCGGCACUGUAACACACACUAGCCGAUGCAACCAUUCUCUUCUUUAAGAUUUCUCUUCUUGCCAUAUCAUGCCAUUCUUUGGUGAGGUCGUCCAUGUCAUUGCGGUUCAUUGUGAUGAUCUUGUUCUCUUCGGCGAGCAACUUGGACAUGGCUUUGUUUUCAGAGGCACAUGCUCUUCUCUCCUCAAUGGCCGCUUUGCGCCGCCCCUCUUCCUUGAGCAACUGCCAUUUUUUUGCUUCUUCCUUGCCUUCUUCUCGACCAACUCUUUCUUAAUCUCCAACGACUUCAACAACAUCAAAUCAUUUGAUUGCACCAUGGCAUCAAUCUUCUCCCUCAAGCUCGAAGAUUCGUGCUCUCUCUUCAUCUUCUCCUUAGUCUUCUUGUCGACAUCGGGCUUGUUCAAGUUUCUUGGACCAUCAUCAUCCUCAUCUUCAUCCAUGUUAGUAAGUGAACCUCUCUUCGGUGGGGAUUCUUUGUCAAUCAACUUCCACUUCUCGCACUCUUUGAGCAAGUCCCAACAAUGCUCUAGUUUGAAGAAUUUACCUUCCGAAGCUUCCAUGUCUUUGUAUCUAUGUUGGCCAAUUUUGUCCUACACAAUUUGAACAAACUCAAUAUGAUGUGCACAACUUGAACAAAGUCAAAACGAACUCACAUAGUCGGAUUCCACGGUUCCACUUGGAGGUGCAUUGCGUGCUUGCUCCAAGCAAGCUGCCAAACGGCUGCAAAUUGGCUCGAUCACAUCCCAACACCCUUGAAGCGACUGAAAGGUGCAUGGAGUCCUAUUGGGAUAUUUUGCCAUCAUGCGGAAGUAUUGAUCUUCGAUCCUUUGCCAAUACCUCUUGGUGGUUUGAGAAGUUCCCGUGCAUGCAUCAAGAGACCCCGCACUCCAUGCCCUGAUCAAGAUUUGAUCUUCCAAGAUCGUGUAGUUCUUCGAUCUCUGGCUUUUUUCACUUUUUGUUUGCGAUUGCUCAUACGCCCCCUCAUCGAUCUCCUCCACUUCUUCCUCACCACCAUGAUCAUCCACGCCGCCCUCCGUUUCAUUGUAAUCGAAUGCGGCGAACGGGGCUUGAUCGAUGUCGACGGUGUUGGUAUCCAACAAGCUCACGAACUCGGUAGUUGCAUUGUUCGAACCACCGCUAUAGUGAACGACAACAAGUCACGAGCUAUUGCAAAUGGCGAAAAGCAAAGGAAAUUGCCAUGACCAAAGACGCAUACCUACCGGCCAUUUCGUCAAACACCUCGCCUGCGGUGGGAGCAGCACCGUUGAGCGGCAUCGCCGGGGAACCUCUUUCCGGGGCGGAGGGAGUGGAUGAAGGAGGCGGCUUCUUUGUAGCCGGAAUCCUCUUCCUCUUUACGCCGGUGGCCUUCGCGACCUUCUCCGCCGCCGGCCGGGAUCGCGCAGCGGCGUUGGCGCCCGGAGCGCGGGCCUUCGCGGCGGGGGCAGGCGGAUUCCCGCCCUGCACGACCACGUUGCCCUGCCGCUUGCGGGCAGGCGCGAGGUACCUUGGGCGACGGCCGGGCCAACAUGGCCGGCGACGAGAUCCGCCCGAGGGGAUUGAGCGUGCGCGACCUCGACGGUGACGAGGGACAUCACGGAGUCAUCCAUGGCGGCGAAGGACUGCCGAGGAAGAUGCACCGGAGCGGGAGGUGACGGGGCAAUGGUGACGGAAGGUGGGGGGAGCGGGAACGGCCGCUCGGAAAUGUCCCUCCCGCCAAAUCUCGCUGCGGAUAGGGGCCGAGCUCGGAUCGUCCUCCCAGCCUGUGAAUCUAGAGGUCGUGGGAGAUCUUUUGCCGCGCCCCGCAAAAAAAUUUAAGGGUCGGCUGCGAAUACGGUGUCUGAUCGGACAGGUUUUUCCGCCCCAACCCGUAUUUUGACGGUUAUUUUGCGGGUCGAGACGGUACGUGGGGUCUGCUAGAGAUGCUCUUAUCUCUGCGGACUUGCGUCGAUCCGAAACUGUCGCAAUGGACAAAGCCGCUACUUCUUCCGCCGGGAAUAAACAAAACGACGUGAGGUGAGCAGCCCACUGCACCGGAAUGACAGCGAGAGGUGAGCAAACUGAUUCUGAAUUCUGAAAGCACCCGGUAUCCUGGAAAACCAACGUCCGCUGCCGCCUGUUUUCCUCUGGCCCUCACGUGUAUAUAACACCAUCGGCUCCCACUCUUCUUCUCAUCAACACAAACAAGUAUCGAUCAGCUUGCUUCACCACCACAAAAUCCACACUCCACUGCUAUCAAGCUUCAAGCAUCAGAGAGUUCAGGCAGACCAUUGAGCGGCAUCAUCUCCUCCAACGCGGCGAGAAGAACAGAGUUGCAGAGAGAUCAUGGCGGGUGCGGCGAAGGCGUCAUGGAUGGUUGCGAUGAGCGUGGGCGCCGUGGAGGCGCUCAAGGAUCAGGCCGGGCUCUGCCGCUGGAACUACGCGCUCCGGUCCAUCCACCGGACUGCCAAGGCCAGGGCCAACGUCCGUGGCGGCGUCUCGCAGGGCGCAAGGCAGCUUCCGGCUUCCGCAGCGGUGGCGGAGAAGCGACGAGCAGAGAAGACCGAAGAGGGGCUGAGGACCGUGAUGUACCUCAGCUGCUGGGGUCCCAAUUAGUACUACUAGCUACCAAGAGGUGUUUUCUCCUAGCUCCAGCAUCUGUUAGAAACUUCUAGCAACAACCACGCCGUGUGACUUGGCUGGUUAAUUCCCUGCCGAUUAUAAAUACGUAUCACGAUGAUGAUGAUGAAACCUUUCCCCACUUCGAGUUCACAUUAUCCUUCUUCAGAAAGGUUUGAAUUGCCUUUCAAACUGAUCUGUUUGUUUCAAAUUCUUUGGGAAGAUUGUUGUUUCGAGUUGGGCGCAAGCUUUGCCUGUUGCUCUGUUCGAUGGGCAGAGCAUUGAUCCUGCUCCAUUUUCCGCCAGCUUGUGCAGAUGAUAAUCAAAACCUUCUUCUUUUUUUGCGAAUUAGUGUUGUAGGUUCAGUUUUAUAAACAUAUGAAUAUGAUACUACCUCCGUCUCGGUGAAUAAGUCAUUCGCGUAGUUCUAGGUCGAUGAUUUAACUAUCUAAAUAUGGAUUAUGUGUAUAAAAAAUAUAUAUUUAGAAAUUACAUCCGUGUAGAAAUCUAGUGAUAUACUUUUCAUAACAUAUAACUCAUAUUUAAUUGCUCAAAUCAAUGACCUAGAACUACGUAAAUAACUUAUUCAUCUAGACGGAGGUAGUAGUACAGUAUGCAUCUUUCCACUAUUUGUGCAACCUCACAUGCGUCUUCUUUGUUGUGUUCGUCCAUCAGACGUACGCGGGACUGUUACUACCAAACAAGCGCUGAAAGUGGAAACCAUGUGUUGCUCCUCUGGUUCCCCCUCCCCCCGGCCAGCUCUCAUACUCGUACGUGUUCUCACUGUCACAUGUCCACAACAUGAGCCUGAAGCCCUGAGGUGAUAAAGUUUCUCCAGUUAAGUCGGUGAAGAAACUUACAAUAUUUGGCUACUGCACUGAAAAUGUGAUUGCUUGCUAUAGGACCAGCGCAUCAGACCAGCCGAUGAAGACAAGUGUAGAUCGGAAGGAUUCAACUUGCAGACACACAGACCUAGACGAACGAAGAUCGGAUCCAUCGAAGACAAACGCCGACCGUAUCCCAUGAAAUCCGUUGGAAACACACGUCCACACGCCCUCCGACGAGCUUGAAGCAUCAACCGGGCGUGGGCUAGGCAGGGAGAACCUUAUUUCAUCUAAAAAAAGCAGUCGCCGCCUCAUCUUCUUGAGCAUGGCACAAAUCCUAACAAAACUCUGAAAAGCAUGUAAAAAUGGAGCCCUCCCGCCGGCAAGGGCCGGUAUCCACCGCGCCUCCAUGGUCCAAGGACCAUAGAAGACGAGGCGGACCGGUGGCGGCGCCAGCGAGAGGUAGGGAAACCCUAGACGGGAGUUCGCACAAGAGCGGGAGCGAAGAAUUUUUUUUUGUACAAUUAACAUUCUUGGCUUUACAUGUCACCAGUGGUUAUACCUUUUUAUUAAUUUGCAGGGGCAUGUAUUAUAUAUUUUUUGUAUAUUUUAAUAAAUAUAUAUUUUUCUCCAUCAGUUGUCAAAGUAUAAAACUACAAUGUGGAAAUUUUUUGGACUCCCAGGUCUCCCAAGUGUCAAACGUCUAGAUUUGCAUCUUGACACAUUUAUAGUUGUCUUACCAUAAAGUUGACGCGAUGAUUUUGAAUAUACCGAAUUCAUGUUAUUCCUUCGGGGGAAAAAUGAUUCUCCAACUAUUGUCAAAUCUUAAAUUUGGCUCCAAACAUCAAAAAAAUUCUUUGCCAAUCAAGUAUCAAAAACAUCUAGACUUGGUAUUUUGCCCCAUUGAAAGUGGUUUUGCAUACAUGGUAGCAUAAUCACCACAAUGAUUUUUUUUACAUCACAUGGGAAAGAUGAGAAAAUAGAACAAUAAAAAAUUCAGACAUUUGCUAAACAAUAUAUGUUUAUUUUAGGAAUUUUUUGUCUAUACAAAAAAAAGCAUGGAAAUGAAGAGGUACAGAAAAAAUUGGUCAAAAUGAACGAAUUUGCGAAAAACCUUUUAUAUUUGAAGAUGUAUUAAAACUAAGAGAAUUUCAAAUUUGAAGAAUUAAAUCGAGGAAAUUAAAUCUUUUGAGUUUUAUCAGAUUACAUGGUUUCCUGAAUAUAGUAUAUGAUAAUUAUCCAAUUUCAAAACUCCUGAAAUCUUACCUGAUUCUUUAUGUUUUUCCUAAAAAAUAAUGUGUUAAUUUCCCCAUUUUAUUUGUGUUCUGCCAAUUUUAUUUGCACACUUAGUUACGACAUGUGCAAAACCCCCUCUAUGGCAACUAAAAUAAAUUGCUUUCCAUGAAGCAGUAACUUCGACAAUUCUACCCGCAAAAAAAAAAAACUUCGACAAUCCUGACAUUUUUUAGCCUACGAACAAUAGUCCUACAGUAUUCUAAGACAACUAAUGUUACUACUCGCAAGUGGCAAUAACAUUUGAAUCUGCUUACUGAAUAUUUACACACAUCACCUAUCCUUUAUUCAUAUCUUAUCUCUGUCGGCUUGUUCCAAUCCCAGACUCUAUCGCAAUGGCCAAAACCACCACUUCCACAGAGAAUAAACAAACGACACGGCAACGAUGGUUGCGGCGUGAAGAAGCAGAGUAGCAGCAGAGUGAUGACUCCAGAAGCACCCGGUUUCGUGGGAAAACCAACGUCCGCGACCACUGUUUUGCUCCAGACCUCCCGUAUAUAACCACGUCCCAGCCCCUCUCCCCCUCUCAUCAACACAAGCAUCUACACUCACAAAGUCCGCGCUCUGCACUCUACACUCGACAACUAGCUACUCUACUACUCUUCAGUCAUCACCUACUUCAGACCACCAACACACAGAGAGAUCAUGGCGGGUGCGGCGAAGGCGUCUUGGAUGGUGGCGAUGAGUGUGGGCGCCGUGGAGGCCCUCAAGGACCAGGUCGGCCUCUGCCGCUGGAACUACGCCCUCAAAUCCAUCCACCGGGCAGCCAACGUCCGCGGCGGCGUCUUGCAGGGCGCCAAGCAGCUUCCGGCCUCUGCUGAGGCGGCGGCCGAGAAGCGGCGAGGGGAGAAGGCCGAGGAAGGGCUGAGGACGGUGAUGUACCUCAGCUGCUGGGGUCCCAAUUAGAAGCUGCAACUUGGUACUAGCUAGGCGUGUGUGUGUUUGCUGCAACAACCAUGGCCUGGAACCACGAUGUAAAAACUUGGUACUAGCUGGCUUCCCGAGGAAUCCCCCAUUGUAAAAACCCCGAUGAUGAUGAUGACAAAUUUCUGUUACUUCAGUUCAUAUCACUCUCCUUAUCUGUUUGCCUUUUUGUUAUCUUGAUGAGAAAUAUGAAUAGAUGCUUUACUUUAGUUUCAGCUAUUCCCUUGUCUUUGAACCCGGCCUUUUGGUCGUAUGUCAUUACAACUUACAAGGACUUCAUUUUUUUACCUGAGUUCAUAGCAAACAUGCUGUAUCUCUUCAGUCUGCAGCACACGUGAAGGUGUCCUCUGCAGGUGUUGAAAAGAGACACAUGAUAAAUUCCCAUAUCUGAAGCAACCUCACACGGCCCCUGGUAUGGUGGAAACCAUGUCUUCCAGCGUGUGGGUCACCCCCAUCUAAUCUUAUCUUAUCACUCUGCCUUGUCUGGUUGUAACAGACAAAACCAUGGCCCACUGUUUUUUCGAUAAAGGAUGAAUUUUAUUGGCUCAAAAUGAAGCAUCAAGAGAAUAUAAACAUAAUGAGAGUCUGUUGAACCUACUAGCUAGGCGUGUUGGGGUCCCAAUUAGCAGUGCACCUUGCUACUACUAGCUAGGCGUGUUUGUGUUUGCUGAAACAACCAUGGCCUGAAACCGCGAUGUAAAAGCUUGGUACUAGCUGGCUUCCCGUGGAAUCCCCCAUUAUAAAAACCACGAUGAUGAUGAUGACAAAUUUCUGUUACUUCAGUUCAUAUUACUCUCCUUAUCUGUAUUUUUUUAUAUCUUAAUGAGGAAUAUGCAUUGAUGCUUUAAUUUGGUUUCAGUUUACAGCUAUUCCGUUAUCUAUGAACCCGGCCUUUUGGUCGUAUGGCAUUACAACAUACAAGAGCGACGAGUUCGUAGCAAACCUGCUGAAUUUCUUCAGCCUGCAGCACACAUGAAGGUGUCAUCUGCAGAUGUUGAAGUGACACACAUGGUAAAUUCCCAUAUCUGUACUGAAGGUCUCAUCAAGCAAUCCAUUUACAUUCGGUUUUGCUCCUUGACCUGCCUCCAGUUGCUUAGUUCGUCCACAUUAAAUAGUGUUAGAAGGGAGAGAGGGAUUUGGUGGAAUAGUUGAUUUAUUGCUUGAGCCUCGUGGGCAUAUAUAUAUAGGAGUACAAUGAUCUACUUGGAGUAUAAGACAAGCCAGAACAAAUCCUAGUCUAUCUCGUCUUUCCUAAUAAAUAUUAUACUCAACAUUCCCCUGCAGUCACAACGAUAGCGACGCAGACGGUGAGACUGGAGAAGAAUCCGAAGGCAAGCCGACGGACACCCCUCCCCCCCAGUCGUAACGGUCGACGCAUCGCGGAGUCAUGGCUGGAGUGGAAACCGACGAGGUUGCUCAAGCAGGCGGUAGCCCUUUGUGCCGUUUGUCGAUGUAGCCGAGAGCGUGGGUGGUGGAGCCGUGGUCGAGGUAGCCGUGCGAAGAAUGCCGUGGUCGAUAUCGAGUCGGGGUAGCCGGUGUCGAGGAAGUCAUCGUGGAGCCGCGGGCGCAAGGGGGCGCCGAGUUAGCAUGGGCGCAGUGGUGUCGAAGUAGGGGUGCGCCGGGAAGAAAAUGUUGUUGACGACGCGUCGCGGCGGGUUUGCCAAGCCCGGGGACACAUUGUGGACGAAGGCACGCACCGGUGUUGCCAGCACCGGACAUGCGUAGACGGAUGAAGACGAAGUUGACGAAGCGCCGACCAGGCAUGCCAGGCCCGGGGACACGUCGUGGAUGAAGGCACGCAUCGGUGUUGCCAGCACUGGGCAUGCGUAGACAAGGGACAUGUACGAGCUGUACGCCAUGUCGGAGAAGUCGGAGGGGCCAGCAGAGAAGAACUCGACGACGAUUGCGGCGUCCAUCGGCGCGGGGCCGAUUUCACCAACGGUGGUCGGAGUAGACGAAGUGGUCGGGGUAGAUGACAGCGACACUGGCGACGGGCUGGUGCUUGGACGAAGACGAAGGGGGUGGACGGUGUGACGCCCUCGAUUCAAUUGUACACUAAUCAUACAUGCAAAUGUGUACGAUCAAGAUCAAGGACUCACGAGAAGAUAUCACAACACAACUCUAGACACAAAUUAAAAUAAUACAAGCUUUAUAUUACAAGCCAUGGGCCUCGAGGGCUCGAAUACAUAAGCUCGAAUACACAAGAGUCAGUGGAAGCAACAAUAUCUGAGUACAGACAUGAGUUAAACAAGAUUGCCUUAAGAAGGCUAGCACAAAAGUAGCAACGAUCGAAAAGGCAAGGCCUCCUGCCUGGGAGCCUCCUAACUACUCCUGGUCGUCAGCGGUCUCCACGUAGUAGUAGGCAUCGACGGUGGCAUCUGGCUCCUGGGCUCCGACAUCUGGUUGCAUCAACCGAAAAGAAGAAGAAAGGGGGAAAAGGGGGAGCAAAGCAACCGUGAGUACUCAUCCAAAGUACUCGCAAGCAAGGAUCUACACUACAUAUGCAACAUUAUCAAAGGAAGGCUGUAUAUGUGGACUGGGCUGCAGAAAUGCCAGAAUAGAGGGGAGAACCUAGUCCUAUCAAGGACUAGCAUCUUCUGGAAACCACCAUCUUGCAGCAACAGGAGGGAAUAGAGUAGCAUAAAGUAAUGUAGUAGAAGUGUUAUCAACCUCGGCCAGAGAUCCCUUCUCGACUCCCUGCGAGAAAGCAAUCCCAGAGCCAUACUAUCCAGUUAUCAUCACAAACCAAUUCUCAUCACAAGUAUCCAGUUCUAGUUGUAUCGAUCGGGAUACAACUCCAAGUGUCCGUUACCGUAGGACAGGCUAUCGAUAGAUGUUUUCUUCCCUGCAGGGGUGCACCAACUUACCCACCACGCUCGAUUAACUCCGGCCGGACACACUUUCCUGGGUCAUGCCCGGCCUCGCCCAAACAAUACGCCACAACCCGACCUAGGCUUAAUAGAGAGGUCAGCACGCCGGACUGAAUCUAUGCCCCCAGGGGUCAUGGGCCAUCUCCUCGGGAACUCCUGCAUGUUGCGUACGCGGCCGGUGAGCAGACCUAGCUACCUCCUUCAACAAGGCAGGUGCUUACGCAGUCCAACCCGGCGCGCGCCGCUCAGUCGCUGACGUCUAUUAAGCUUCGGCUGAUGCAUACGGCGCAGAACGCCCAUACUAUGCCCAGGUGAUGGUUAGUGCUAUCAGGCCAGAGGCCCCUCGGAUCAAAUAUCCAAAUUGUAGUGGAUUAGGAACGCGCGGUAACAAGCAGAGACUCACGAAAGAUGUGACCCCGUUGCCCCGUCUCGAGGACUUGCGGCGAGGGCUAGGAAUGCCCGGCCACGCCUCGUAAUUAUCUCGCGGGCACCCUCCAGGUCAACCCGUCUCCACAUCACUCGCAAUUAAGCUCGCGCGGGUACCCCUCAGGGCCGACCCGUCUUUAGUAACAUGGUCCAGUGUAAAGUCAUAGUAACCAUAGUAACUAUGUGUCCAAACAACAAGGGGAAAACCCGAGGAAUCACCCCCGGUGAAUUCCACUCGAUGUAAUCAUCAAGGUGAACGUAAGAGGAACCACCCCCGAGGUUCACACUUGAGGGGUUGCACGACAGAGUCGUAUCGGAAGUGGUUAAGGCGGAAUCGCCCUCGAUGACCACGACCGAUUAGCUAGACUACAGGGUUAACAUCAGAAGUGCUGUAGAGGUCUCACCCUCGGCACUCGAUAGUAACCCAGUAGUGUCGAGCCACUAAGGGGAAAGUGAUGUGCGGUGCCUGGUCUUCGAUCCCGUUGAUCGGGUCUUCAAUGAUGAAGCAGGGGCAACAAGGACAAGGUGGGGGUCAUUGAUGGAUCACUAACCAACCUAUACUAAGCAGUUUUAGGAUAAGCAGGUAGGUAACAAUGAGCAGGUUACAAAAGCAGGCUAUGCAUCAGAAUAGGAGCAAAUAAUAACAGUAGCAAAAUCUAAUGCAAGCAUGAGAGAAUGGAAUGGGCGAUAUCGGAAUGAUCAAAGGGGGGCUUGCCUGUUUGCUCUGGCAAGGAGGGGUCGUCGUCGACGUAGUCGAUCACAAGGGCAGCAUCGGUCUCGGGGUCUACCGGAGAGAAGAGGGGGAAGAAACAGUAAAUAUAAAGCAAACAUAGCAUCACAAAGCAUAACGUGGCAAUAUGUUGUGCCGGGUGUGACCUAACGUAUGGCUACACGAUAUAGGUGAAGGGGGAAAACAUCCGGGAAUGCUUUCCCGAAGUUUGGCAUUUUCGGACAGAUGAAACGGAGGGGAAAUGUUACAUGUUCGUUAUGCUAGGGAUGUGUGACGGACGAACGGACCGCGUAUUCGGAUUCGUCUCGUCGUUCUGAGCAACUUUCAUGUAUAAAGUUUUUCGAUCCGAGCUACAGUUUAUUUUCUACGAAUUUUAAAAGAUUAUGCAUUUUCUGGAAUUAUUAAUUUAACAGAAUUCACAGAAAAGCAAAAUGACGUCAGCAUUGCGUGGGGAUGAUGUCAGCAGUCAACAGACUCGCUGACCAGGUCAAAACUGACCAGUAGGUCCAGCGGGACCCACAUGUCAUAGAGAGAGUUAACAGAGUUUUAAAACGAACUAACAGAGUUAUUUAUCAGGAAGGCCCCACCUGUCAUGGACUAAUUAACUAAACUAAUUAGUUUUAAUUAUGAAAACAUUUUAAUUAGAGGAUUAAGCGGUGGGGCCCGCACGUCAGCGUUACAGAGGUGCCUAGUCAGCACGUUGACUGGGUCAAACCCAGUCAACGGGGCCUGCGGGGCCCACUGGCAGUGACCCAGGGGUGGCCCCAGGUGUGCCACGUUGGCGGUGGCCGGCGGCUGAACGCCGGCGACCGAAAACAUGGCGGAGGCGCUCGGGACCUCGCCGGAAUCCUCAUACAAGGGCCAUUUGGCCCGCACGUUUGGUGCGUUCGAACAAGUGAGCAACGCCUCAUCCAAACGAGGUAGCGCGGGGCCUCGAAAACGACCGGAGAUGGCUGGACGACGAGUUACCGCGGCGGCCGGAAUUCGGAAAUGUGCAGGUGCAGCUACGGCUUGAUUCUAAGAAAGCUAAGCGGCAUCAGCAGUCCUCCAGGAGCGCGCUACGGGGACUAGACGGAGCAGGAGGAGCUCGGGAGCUUGUGCACGGCAGCAAUGGCGGACGGCGGAGCCGGCGCUUAUGGCCAGCUAGCUAGGGAAGGAGGAGCAAGGACGGGGAGGGAGGAGGCGGAGCUUACGGGGCAGGCACACGGAGGCCUCUUGGGGGUCGGGAGCGCAGAGGGAGGCCUGUGGCUCCGGUGAUCGCCGGUGACCACCGAGAAGGGGAAGAGGGCGAUGCCGACGUCGCCGACGUCCCCGGCUCCAGCUGAUGCACGAGGACGAUGAAGCGGAGGACGGCGCACCUCCCAGGCUCGGUUGCCGGGCUCGGGGACGCCGGUGGCCGCGGGGACGACGAAGACGCGGCGUCGGAUGCGCUCGGUGGAGAGGGAGAGAGCUCGAGGGAGAGGCGAGAGAGAGAGGGCAGAAUGGAGGAGGCGUCCAGGGGAGUGGAUGAGGAGGAUCUAGGGAAAGGUGAGCCCGAGGCGUCGCCCUUAUCCACCUCGACGCCGGCGAGCGGGUGCGGUUGGGGCGCGCUCGGCGCGCGCACCGGGUUGGUGGAACAGGAGGGAGGGGAGAGCGACCGGGGAGGGGGCGUGGGCCGACCUGCUGGGAUGGGCCGAGGCCCAAGGGAAGGCCAGGGGCUUCUCUCUCUCUCUCUCUCUCUCUCUCUCUCUCCUCUGCCUUUUCCCUUUUCUUUUUCCUUUUUGUUUCUUUUAUUUGUUUUGUUUUGCAUUUUUCUUUCAGUACCAAAAUGAGUUUUGUUUUCAACAAAACUUGGCACAAAACCUUGAGAUGGAACAAAAAGUUUGGGGUCAAAAGGAGUUGCCUAAUCAAUUUUAGAAAUUGAAAAGUCCAAUUUAAAUGCUGCUGGAGCACCAAUUAAUUCCCAUGGGCAUUUUGGAAAUUCAGAAGAGGUUGGUUCAACAUGACAGUGAUCAGGGAAAUUUAUAUGAUAAGGUGAACAUUUUAGUUUUGCUGCCCAAAGAAAUAAUUUAUUAGACUUAUUUUAAAUUUGAAAAAGGCUUUGAUUUUUGGACAAGUGGCAAGCUACAUAGUAAUCACGAUGACAUGGCCACCAUUAGGGGGAGAUUACUGUAGCAUGAUUCUCGGGGUGUUACAGACGGGCGGCAGCGGCGGCUACGAAGGUAGCGGCAGCGGCGGCCAAAGAAGAGCGGCGGCGGCGGCCUGACGGCGCCGGCGGCGGCUAGGUUAGGAGUGUGGCGGCGGUGCUCGAAGUAGGCGAAGAACCCUGACAGCGUGACGCAGACCGGCACGGAUGGUGGCGUUCCCGCGCCAAGAAGAUGGCGCGACGCAUACCACGUGAGGUCGACGCGCGGUAUCGGCGGAGCGGACCGUGGGCCGCGGCGCUACGGACCGUGGGCCGCGGCGCAGCGGCUGCAGGCGGGUCGGAGCGACUGCGGGAAGACCUCUGGGCGGCGGCGGGGACCGCGGACCGCGACGCUGCGGCCCGAAGGGGCGACACAACGGCGGUUCGCGAGUUGGUGCAACCGCGGGGACGGCCUCGGGGCGGCGGCGGGGACCGCAUAUCGCGACACUACAUCCCAAAGGGGCGACGCAGCGGCGACGCACGAGUCGAUGUAGCCGCGAGGAGAACCACGGGGUGGCGGUGCUGCGGCCCGACGGGGCGACGCAGUGGCAGCCCGAUGCUCGAUCGGUGGAGAGGCGCGCUGAACUCGGGGACGAUCUUCACGGGACCUGCGGAGGCUCGCGUAACCGACGGGCCAGGUCGGUCGCACGGCGUAGAUGAGGCGGAUCGCGGCGGCGAGCGGGUGAUCAAGCCGAUCGCGCGCGAGGUCGGGGACGCCGCUCGAUGGAGGCGUGGUGGCGGCGGAGUCCGAGAUGAAGCCGGCGACGACGGGCGGCGUGGGACAUCGUGCAGACGAGCAUGUCAGCACCGGCACCCGGGCUGCCAAAGCAACACCGGCGCCCGGGCAGCGAGGCCCGAGCGACCAACGGAGCAGCGGCGCCCGAGUUGAGGCAGCCGACGAGCCUGACGCAGCCAUCCCGACGCAGCCGAGGACGAGGCCGGCGAGGUAGACCACCGGGCCGCCGUGCAGACGCGAUGGAGGCGGGUGAUGUGGAUCGAUGGGCGGGCCGGCGCGCGAGCGACGGCUAUGAUUGGCCGUCGCAUGGCGCGAGGCCGCCGGGUCGGAGCGAUGCAGGUGUCCCAGUCGGAGCAGGGCGGUGACGGCGCAGGGCGAUGGGCGGACCGACGCGCGGACGGCGGCUGGCCCUGACGGGCCGCCUCGGCGCGCGUGGCCGCCGGGUCGGAGGAGAGGCCGGCUGGUCGCGCCGGGGUCGGAGUAGAGGCGCUCGGGGUCGACGGCGGCGGUGGGCGACGCAAACCGAUCGAGAAUAGAUCGGAAAACCAAAAAGAAACCGCGCGAUCAAGAUGACCGGCGGGAGAGAGAAAACCUCGGAGCAAGACUCGGGGAAAAGACUCUCUAAGGCAGCCAGUCAACACGACCGGCGGACGAACACUAGGUACGGGCGACGCGGCCCCCAGCGGCGGUCAUGGAGGCCGAUCGCCCCGGGGACAGCGCACGGGUGUGGAAGCGGCGGCGGCUAGGGUUUAGGAUCAACUUGCGAUAGAUAUCAUGUUAGAAGGGAGAAAGGGAUUUGGUGGAAUAGUUGAUUUAUUGCUUAAGCCUCGUGGGCAUAUAUAUAGGAGUACAAUGAUCUACUUGGAGUACAAGACAAGUCAGAACAAAUCCUAGUCUAUCUCGUUUUUCCUAAUAAAUAUUAUACUCAACAAAUAGUAGGAGUAGUAGUUAACUAAUCCUUACUAUCUGCAGGUUUUCUGAUCAGAGCUAUAGCAAGAACCAAGAGCCAAAAAGGCAGGUCACCCGUUUUUCUUUCCAAGUUUUCCUAGGGUCAUUCAAGCAAAUGAAUUGGCUUUUCAACAAGAGGAAUCCCCACACGUUUCGAGUACCACAAGUUUUUCUUUUGAACCAGGUUAACCCCUCUCAAUUAAUAGCAGUACCACGAGUUUCUUGGAAAUAAUCAUGAUGUAUUUAUAUCAUUAUUAAUAAUCAAGAUGUUUUGCCUGAGGCGCACACAUGGAUGACUCCUCCAUCCGACGUUGACACGAAGCGCACGCGGCCCGUGGUAUGGUGGAAACCAUGUCUUUCAGCGUGUGCAUCACCCCCAUCUAAUCUUAUCUUAUCUCUCUGCCUUGUCUGGUCGUAAAGGACAAAACCAUGGCCCACUGUGCGGGAACCAGAGCGAGAGGUGCAGCGCAAGCAAGCAAAAGCGAGCUCUCCUGAAACUGAAAGCACCCGGUUUCUUUUUUUUUUUUUUUGAGAUCCGCGGCCGCCUGUUUUGCUCCGGCUCUUCCGUGUAUAUAACCCCGUCCCACUCCCACUCUUCCUCCCGUCAACACAAACCAGUAUCAAUUCAGCGAGAUAGUUCAAGAGAAUCAGCUCUGUUCUUUCAGUACCGCAACUUUGCAAGUCCACUACUACCAUACAGAAGGAUCACAAGUCAGUGUCCACUCUCCAGCAGCGCAGCAAGAACAAGGAGGAGGAGGAGGAGGAGAGAUGGCUGCUCCGGCGAAGGCGUCGUGGAUGGUGGCCAUGAGCGUGGGCGCUGUGGAGGCCCUCAAGGACCAGGCUGGACUCUGCCGCUGGAACUACGCACUCAGGUCCGUCCACCGGACAGCCAAGGCCAACGUUCGAGGCGGCGCCUCGCAGGGCAAGAAGCAGCUGCCUGCCUCCGCGGCAGCCGUGGCAGAGAGGCGGCGAGCGGAGAAUUCCGAGGAGGGGCUGAGGACGGUCAUGUACCUCAGCUGUUGGGGCCCAAAUUAGGAGUACUAGUAGCUAGGGCAUAGGGGCGCUUGUGUUCGUUGCAGCAAGAGUAACCUUGUACGAAGACAUGGCCUGAGAGACUUCCUGGUUGUCCCCAUGAUCGGUUGUAAAGAUACCAUGAUGAUGAUGAAAAUUUCGCCUACGAGUUUAUAUCACUGUCCUUGGUCAUGUGCAUCUUUGACUAUUUGUCUUGAGAGGAAGAAAGUUGAGAGUUACUCCGGGAGAGCAACUCAGGGAGGCGAGGUGAGAAGCAUACAGAAAACAGAGCAAGUUCAGCCGCCUGUACAAUACAACCCAAAACUCUGCACAAAGGAAUAAAGGAUAGAACGGAUCUUGGCGAUACACCCGGCUGCCCUCCAAGAUCUUCGUCUUGUCUGAUCAACUCGAACACCUCCAGGUCGCUGAAACGGUGGCUAUUAAUGAUUAUGGCGUCGCGUUCUGUCCAACAAAUUCUUCUCCAGUUGUUUUGAUUCGGAACAACAUGUAUAUGCUUUGCAUUGGUUGCAAGUACUUUCUGUUGCGCGAGUCGACCCGGCUCACAGCAAGUGCAGGGUUCAAGGGAUAGGGAUGCCACUGAAGCCAGUCGCCACUAAGGCAGAGUCGUCAUUCUCUAAAUAUGUUCUUUUUUAUUAGAACGAGCGCGACGGCACAGUGAAGCACAUCGCAAUGUGUCGGUGGAAACGACAUCUAUGGAAUCACGAGGAUCCCUUCUGCGGUUGGCGGGCGCGGGGUUGUGUAAAGAGCGGGUCUAGUAGUUAGCACAAGGAGAUUUUACCUAGGUUCGGGCCGCGUAGAUGCGUAAUACCCUAGUCCUGCUUUAAUGUAUAUUUGAGUGUUCUUGAGUUCUUGAUCUAGCUACGGUGCGUGCGUGGUUCAAAAAGUCCGAAUCCUCUCUCAGUACGCCGCGGGCCUCCUUUUAUAGUAAAAAAGGGGUUGCCACAGUGACACACAGGAGGUGGAAAGUUAUACAGUGCACAAGCUUAUCGCCUGGCAUCACAGGACAAAACGCAUUAAAUGCGCUAUUUAGGUCUCCUCUUGCUUUAUCAGGAACGGUAACAAAGCCCGUCCCGUCCGUCGCCGCUUCGCCUUGCUUCGACAUGCGUCCAGGCCAACGGGGCGUGCAGCGCCAUGUAGGCUGGCAGGCUGCUGAGCUGGCGCGGUGGCCACGAAGAUCUGCAUGCCACCACGCAGGUGCUUGUCUAGUUGGCUUAGGAGUCAUGUACUGCCACGUGGGUACUUGUUUAGUUGGUGGGUCGACCGCUGAGCUGGGGCGGCGACGGGGCGGCAAGGCCUUGCCGCGGUCGUGCUGAUAUUCCCGGCAAGGGUCUUGCCGGGGCCUUGUGAGCGCCCUCGGCAAGAGUCUUGCCGGGGCCUCGUAGGUGUCUUCGGCAGAAGUCUUGCCGGGGCCUCGUGGGCAUCCUCGGCAAGGAGCCUUGCUGUAGUCUUGUCUUCUGGUUCUCAUCUAGGCCUUGCAGGCUCUUUGUCUUCACAAAGAUCUGCAUGCCACCAUGCAGGCGCCUCCCGAGUCUUGGUUCCAAUGUUUGUCGAUGGUGUCGGAACUCUCAGGCUCAAGUGUGGGGGCCUCGCUGGAGUUGGGCAAGUUGCCCCUGCAAGGCUCUUGCCGGGGCUGUGUGGGCUGCCCCGGCUAGGGUCUUCCCGGGAGGAAGCCCAUCUUGUUGCCUCGUCGUCCGCGCCCCUGGUUGGAGCGCUGCUCUGGUAGUCUUGUACUUUUGCCUCCUUUGCCACGCCAAGCGUGGCCAUCGGCUCGUGGUUGUGACUGCGGGCGCACAAGUAAAGGGGUACCAAAAGGACCGCUAAUUUUGUACACCGACAGGAGCCCCCAGGCCUGGGCCACAUAUAAGUGCGGAGCGUUAUUGGGCCAGGCCCAGAAGAGUGCGCGGGUCCGCGUGUGGCGGAGUUUUACCGCAUUAAUUCCCUCGCCAGUUGCGCUUCCCCACGACCCGCGUUGAAUGCGUGACGUGGGGGUCGUGCGUGGAGUGAUUGCUGCACGCGCGCGUCCCAUCGUGGUAAAUGGUAAAGAGGCGGCCCGCGUCUCCCCUACAAAGAAUAGAGGAAGCUGCAGGGGCGCGGCUCAUUUACUAAGUGGACUCGGGUCAUGGCCAUUAUGGCAGCCUCGUCCUACUGUUAGAGUAGUCAUUAUGGUAUACGACUUCUAGUCCAAGUCAGUUUUGUAUCCCUACCCCAAGUCGGUUUGUACCCUCUUAUAUACUCUUGUAUGCCGCACCAAAUCAUCAAUAAGCAACAGUUUUAUUCAGCUUUCAUGGUAUCAGAUACCGGUCCUAGGGUUUAGGGUAUGGCUCCGCCAACGCCACCGCCACCGCCGCCGCCCGGCUACUUCGAGCGCCGGGCCGCACUCAUCGCCAAGGCUGCCAACGCCACGGCCGCUUCUCUCUCGGCCCUCACCAUAACUCCACAAAACUACCCUGCACCGAUCCUCGCCGCACCAAUAUCUCUUGCUGACACAAUCUCCGACGUCAGCCCCUACAUCCCCAUAGUUCUUGAUCUCGCUGCCCACAACUACUACCAUUGGAGACAUCUCUUCGAUCUCCACCUCGGCCGCUGCAACCUGCGCUCGCAUGUCACCGCCAACUGUCUUCCCCGCCCCGACGAUCCGCAAUGGUUGAAAGACGAUCUUGCGAUCGUCCAGUGGUUCUACACCCGCAUCACCACCGAGAUCUUCAACAUGCUCGAUCACGACGGCGCCACCGCUGCCAACAUCUGGCACUCCCUCCGUCAGCUCUUCCACAGCAACACCGACGCUCGGAAAAACGCUCUCCACACCGAGCUUCGCAAUAUGGUGCAAGGAGACGCCCGGUGAACCUGUUCUGCCAGCGCGUUAAGACCAUUAGUGAUGAGCUCCGCGAACUCGGCGAUACAGUUAGCGACUCACAGCUAAUCAAUAUCGUCGUCGUCGGCCUCAGCGAAGACUUUGACAAGCAAGCCUCGUUCAUACCGAUGAUACGGCCCCCUCCUACCUUCGCUGAAGUUCGUUCCUUGCUACAACUCGCGGAGGAAACACAAGCUCGCAAGGACUCUCGCCCCAAGGUCUUUCAUGCUGCGGCUCGUCCUCCUCUGUCGUCUACACCAGCGCCGCCUUCCAGGCCGGCUCCUGCCGCCGGGCCGUCCGCAUCGUCAUCUGUUGAACCGCCCCCAGGCUGGCGUCCUAGUCUGAACUACCGCGGCAAAAACCCUAUCUACAGGCCGCCGUCGACUCGUUCGGUUCCGCCUACGACAUCCCCAGCACCGAGUCCUGCACCACCCACCAGUGCUCCAUCUGCGGUUGCAUGGCGGCCUCCUCAUGAUCCUUGGACGGGGCUUGUUCAAGCAUGGCCCAUGCCCUGGUCCGCUCCGUCCACCCUCGGUGCUCCGCCGGCAUACUCAGGUGCCUGGCAACCCGGCCUUCGGCCGCCUACUGGUGCUCCCGGGGUUCUCAACCCCCGACAGCCGGCCAAUGCCUAUCACGCCGCCCCGACGUAUGCUCCUUAUGGUCAUUACAGCACCGACGGCGGCGCCUACUACACACCUCAGCCAGUCCUGCUCCCGACGCCACCCCCACCACAGCCGGCCAAUGCCUACUACACUCCCCAGCCGGCCCUACUGCCUUCACCAUCGUAUCCGCCGGCACCGCUUCCGACGCCACCCUCACCUGCGACGCCAAGCUGGGAUCAAGCUGCCUUUCUCCAGGCCAUGAAUAACUUUGCUGCACAAGGAAACUCAGGUACGGAUUGGAUCUUUGAUUCAGGGGCCUCUAGUCAUAUGUCUGCAUCUAGUAAUUGGUUAUCUUCUUGCACUAAAUCUCCUUUCCCUUCCAUUAUCCUUGGAGAUGGAUCAUCUAUUCCUAUAUAUUGUGUUGGUCAGGCUCAACUUCCCUCUUCCACCAAACCUCUUUUACUUCGCGAUGUUCUAGUUGCACCCGCCCUCAUUAAAAAUCUUAUCUCUGUUCGCCAAUUUACUUGCGACAAACUAGUUUCGGCUGAAUUUGACCCUUUUGGUUUAUCCGUGAAGGAUUACCUGACCAAGGCCGAGAUCGCUCACUUCAAUAGCUCCGGUGAUCUUUAUUCUCUUAAUGGAGUUCCUGCCGCUACCCCUCCAACAUCCAUGCUGGCCUCCGUCGAUCUCUGGCAUCGUCGCUUGGGCCAUCCCAACCCCGCCGUCUUAGCUUCUAUGCUUAGUGAAUUUACCAUACCAUGUCAUAGGGACUCUCAUAAUUCUGUGUUUUGCGAGUCUUGUCAAUUAGGCAAACAUGUGCAUCUUCCCUUUAGUUCCUCUAGUUCUUGUAGCACUUAUCCCUUUGAAUUAAUACAUUGUGAUUUAUGGACCUCUCCCAUUGCAAGUAUUUCGGGUUUUAAAUACUACCUUGUUAUCCUAGAUGAUUUCACCCACUUUGUCUGGACUUUUCCUCUACGCAACAAAUCCGAGGUCCAUUCUCUUUUCCUUAAUUUUCAACGCUAUGUGUCUGUUCACUUCUUCCUCCCAUUUCGCUUUAUCCAAUGUGACAAUGGUCGCGAGUUUGAUAACAUUAAAAAUCGUACUUUCUUCUUACAACAUGGCAUCCUGCUUAGGUUCUCAUGUCCCUACACCUCCCCUCAAAAUGGUAAAGCAGAACGCUCUCUUCGCACCCUCAAUGAUAUAGUUCGCACUCUCCUCAUUCAAUCAUCUAUGCCUCCCAAGUUUUGGGCUGAAGCCCUACACAUGGCCACCUUCCUUCUAAAUAUUCGACCUUCUAAAACUAAACCCAACACUACUCCCUAUUAUUCCCUCUUUCUUUCCCACCCCGACUACUCCGUUGUUCGUGUUUUCGGCUGUCUCUAUUUUCCCAAUGCCUACGCCACUUCUGCAAAUAAAUUGUCACCACGCUCUAUCCCAUGUGCUUUUCUCGGCUUCUCUGACGAGCACAAAGGCUAUCGCUGUCUCGACCUUCACACCGGACACGUUCAUGUCUCUCGUCAUGUCACGUUUGCUGAGCACAUUUUUCCUUUCUCACAACGCACUACUACACCAUCCAACACCCCUAGCUCCGCAAACACCCCCUCUUCCCGUCCUUUCCAACUAUAUACUCCCCUACCUGCCGAACACAACUUAUCACCACCACCAUUAACACCCACCAUAGCCAAUCCCAACCAUACACUCACCCCACCCGAGACGUCUCCAACUCCCCCGACCCCUGCUUCCUCCCCAACACCCCCGGCCCCUACUCCCACUCCACCACCCAGCCCUGCUCCCACUCCACCACCCAGCCCUACUCCUUCGUCCGACUCUUCCGCUGCGCCGGACUCACCAGUACCCACCUUACCCCCUCGUGCUAUUCCUACAGCAGCCCCGAUUAAUGAUCAUCGCAUGCGUACUAGGGCCAAAUCAGGAUUUCAUCAACCCCAAGACCGCCUAAACCUUCAUACCUCCGUAUCUCUCACUUAUCUUCCAAAGAAUUACAAAACUGCUCUACUUGAUCCCAAUUGGGCCGCUGCCAUGCAAGAAGAAUAUAAUGCUUUACUUCAAAACAACACCUGGCAACUUGUUCCUCAUCCUCCCAAUACAAAUAUUGUUUCUGGCAAAUGGAUUUUUUGCCAAAAGUUCCACUCCGAUGGGAGCCUCUCACGAUAUAAAGCCAGGUGGGUUUGUCGUGGCUUUUCUCAGCAACAAGGAAUUGAUUAUGAAGAAACCUUCUCUCCUGUUGUUAAACCUAGCACCAUUCGCACCGUUCUUAGUGUUGUUGUCUCCUCUUCAUGGCCCAUUCACCAACUUGAUGUUAAAAAUGCUUUCCUCCAUGGUUCCCUUCAAGAAACUGUCUACUGCCAGCAACCUCUGGGUUUUGAAAAUCCAUCCUUUCCAACUCAUGUAUGUCUUCUUCAGAAAUCUCUCUACGGUCUUAAACAGGCCCCACGAGCUUGGUUUCAACGCUUCUCCUCCUUCAUUCAAACAAUAGGCUUCACUCCAUCUCUCUCCGACACCUCUCUUUUUGUGUAUCAUCAAACUUCUGACACUGCCUAUUUACUUCUCUAUGUAGAUGAUAUCAUUCUUACCGCCUCCUCUCAAAAGUUCUUAGAUCAUAUUGUCUCUCUUCUUAGAUCUGAAUUUUCUAUGACUGACCUAGGACUCCUUCAUCAUUUCUUAGGCAUUGCUGUUGUUCGAGAUUCCUCCAGCCUUUUUCUUUCCCAACACCAGUAUAUUCUUGAUCUUCUUAAUCGUGCUGGUAUGCUUGACUGUCAAUCAUUCGCACUCCUAUCGAUACUAGUUUUAAACUUUCGGCUAUCGGUGAACCCUUUUCUGAUCCUACUCUCUAUCGUAGCCUAACAGGUGCUCUCCAAUAUCUCACCAUUACUCGUCUUGAAAUCUCUUUUGCUGUUCAACAAGCAUGUCUCUAUAUGCAUGAUCCCCGGGUUCCUCACUAUAAUCAUGUUAAACGCAAUCUUCGGUAUUUAAAAGGAACUCUCAAUCAUGGUCUCCACCUCAAUAAUUCUUCUCCAAACUCGCUUACCGCAUACUCUGAUGCAGACUGGGCUGGUUGUCCUGACACUCGAAGGUCCACUUCCGGUUUUUGUGUUUUUCUUGGUAACAAUUUGAUUUCUUGGUCUUCGAAAAGACAUGUUAUAGUCUCACGUUCGUCGGCCGAGGCUGAGUAUCGCGCUGUGGCACAUGCCGUUGCAGAUACCAUCUGGAUUCGGCAGUUACUCUCCGAGCUACACAGGCCUAUUGAGCAGGCCACUAUUGUCUACUGUGACAACAUAUCAGAGUCUACAUGACCAGCAAUCCAGUUCAACACCGACGCACAAAGCAUAUUGAGAUUGAUAUUCAUUUUGUUCGUGAAAAGGUUGCUCUUGGUCAGGUUCGGGUGCUUCAUGUUCCCUCUACGGCUCAGUUUGCUGACAUUUUCACCAAGGCACUGCCUACUAAGCCGUUUCAAGAUAUCUGUUUCAGUCUCAACGUCGUCGAGCCUGCCGUUGAUACUGCGGGGGGAUGUUAGAGUAGUCAUUAUGGUAUACGACUUCUAGUCCAAGUCAGUUUUGUACCCCUACCCCAAGUCGGUUUGUACCCUCUUAUAUACUCUUGUAUGCCGCACCAAAUCAUCAAUAAGCAACAGUUUUAUUCAGCUUUCACCUACGACCACGGGGGGCGAAACAGCCGUUCCACUUGUUAUCUGAAUUCUGGCUCUCCCGCCACGUGUCCUCCAUGCGUCGGGGAGGGCAGGCGGUGGACACAGAAGGUAUGGGCUUUAACGUCGGGGCGAGGGCCGGGCGUCGCUAAUUGGGGCAGCGGGUCGGUCAUGUCUCCUUGCGCCUCCGGCAGCUGCAUCGGUUGACUGGGGCGGUCGCCCUCAGGCUGGUUCGGCCCCGUCCCCCUAUAAAAAGGGGAGAGGGGCAGCACCUUCUCGCAUUCAUCCUCUGCCAGUUCAAUCCCUUCCCUUCCCUUGUCAUGGCGAGAGGGUGCGGCGGCGCUCUAGCGGUGGCGACGAGGGCUUCUGCUCAACAGCGUGUCCCCCUCCUCCGGAACUCAUGGUGGCGGAGCCCGCAGUGAGAGGAGGAGGGAGGGGGCGAGGCCGAGGUCGCCGUGGCGCUCGGGGAGAGGAGGACGGGGCGGCGCACCGGCCGUGCUCCCGCCAGCGGCUCCUCUCCCAAUGGAGGGCCACGUCGAAGAUCAGCCUCGCGAGUUCUUCAUCAGGCUGUACAAGCCGGUGUGCGGUCAUCUUCGCCUCCCCACCCCGUUCGCUUGGGAGAUGGAGCUCGACCCGCCAGAAUCCUUGAGAUUGCACAUAAGGGGCUGUGGGAUUGGCGCCAUACAGGUUGAUGUCGACUUCCCCGCCCCUCACAUUAUGUAUCUCCGUCAUUGGUGGAAGACCUUUGCUCGUGCCCAUAGCCUGUCGGAGGGGCACGUUCUCCAGUUCAAAUUAAUGGAGAACGGCCUGCUCUCCAUCAAGGUUUUUGGGCGUUCGGGAAUCAGGUUAGGGUGCUGUGCGGAGAGCUCGACCAAUGACGAAAGCUCCUCCUCGAGCGAAAGUGAUGAGGAGGACACCGAUGGGGAAGACGACGGGGACGGGUCCGACUAAGUGUCGGACAUGCCGUCCCCGGGCGACGUCGACAGCACCAUCAUCUGCACCUGGCCUUCCCCUAGGCAGAGCGAUUUGCUGGGGGUGGGGCCAGCUCCUUGAACUUCUCGGGGUUGUCGCCUUGGGCGGCUGGCGUUGGGAGGCCGGAGAAGAUGAAGAAGGCGGGUGGCGGGCCGUCAAGUCGGAGUACGAUGGCACCGACGCCUUCAUCGCGUAUUGCCGCCCCGCUGCCUCAUCUUCCGGCUCUUCUCCCGGCACCAUCAUCACCAGCUCUCUUCUGGACGACCGCCGGAUGUUCUCUUGGUGUCUUGUGCGGCUCGUACCUCGCCUAGGCACUUCUUUUGCCCUCCCACAAUCUUGAUCCAUUUCCUGAGGAGAGGGACAAGAAAGGGAUUACGGGUAACUUAUCUCUUUUUAGUUUUUAAGCCUGCGGGCAUUUGCCAGAUUUAAACUUUGUAAUCCCCUUGUUCAUGUUCACAUUCCGUAUGAAUUGUACUUGUUAACAACAUAUUAACGAAAGAGGGUUCUUGCCGGGUCCUUUUGUGUGCGACCGGAUCUCACACAAAGGAACGAGCCCUUGUUAUCUUAAGAUAAACAUCGUCACCCAGCAACAGACCUUGUCGUCCUCCCGCUCCAUAGCCCGACCACGCUCACGCCCUUGGCGGAGGUAGGGGCAAAGUAGGAUUAGGCCCUUCAUUUUGUUCCCUUUCCAUCGCACUACAACCAAGUUCCGGCCAAAGAAAGGUUUUUGGACGCGGGAAAGAGGGAGCACGGCGGUAUAGGAGUAAGUGAAGCUUCAUAUGUUCAAGUCUCAUACGGAAGCGUAGAGUGGGGGAUGAAAAACUUAUCUGAUUCUGCAGCCCCCGGCAAUCUUGGCUUGCCGUGGUUGGAUAUCUGGAUCUGCAGCCCCCAGCAACCUUGGCUUGCCGGCGUUAGGGCGUCGACCUGUUCCCUUUCUUCCAAACAGCUCAGCAGAAAACGCCCGCGCAUCCUGCGAACUAAAACAAAGGACGGGAAGGAACAGAAGAAAGACGCAGACUCGACCUCUAUGCUAAGGGUUAGUCGUCGCCAAGCACUAUCAACCCUAACAAAGAGGGAGACUCAACCUAGCAUGCAUGCUAAAACUUAGGGCGCCAGCGCUUCAUCUAUUUAUGCUCAGGGUCUGCGCCUGGCUUUGUACAAAGGGAUACAUGCCUCGCCGGCAAGGCUUGUACAAAAGGUGGUCUGCCCGGGGGCCAGGCAACCGCGCCUUACGGGUAAAACUUGCGAAGAUGUUCGAUGUUCCAGGAGUUGCUCACUGGAAUACCAUAUUCGGUCUCCAGGCGGACUGCGCCGGGCCUGGUGACUCGUAUUACCUGAUAAGGGCCUUCCCACUUCGGCGUCAACUUGUUGGAAUUCUUGGCCGACUGAGCGUGCCGAAGAACAAGGUCGCCUUCCUCAAAGCUUCGGGCAUAAACCUUGCGGCUAUGGUAGCGGCGCAAGGCUUGCUGGUAGCGUGCUGCUCGCACAGCCGCCCGAAGACGAUCUUCCUCAAGGAGCGUUGCGUCAUCUUUCCGCAAUUGCUCUUGCUCCAGCUCAUCAUAAGUGAGCACUCGGGGUGACCCGUAUGUGAGUUCCGUGGGGAGAACUGCUUCUGCCCCGUAAAUGAGGGAGAAGGGCGUCUGGCCGGUGGCUCGACUUGGUGUCGUUCUGAUUGACCAAAGAAUCGUCGGCAAUUCAUCAAUCCAACGCCUUCCGCACAUGUGUAGCCUGUCAAAAGUCUUUGUCCGGAGGCCCCGCAGUACUUCAGCAUUUGCCCUCUCCGCCUGGCCGUUGCUCCGUGGAUGUGCAACAAAAGCAAAACAGACGUUGCUGCCGAGGUCUUGGAUGUACUGCAUGAAGGUGUGGCUUGUGAACCGCGUGCCGUCACUGGUGCGCAUCGGUCCUAAACAAACGGUUUAAAACCCCUUUCCGCGACGGCAUUUGGAACCGUCGCCAAGUGAGUGUGGGCGAUAGGGGGGGUCCUUCCCACACGACCCAGAAAUCGUCGGGGAUAGGCCCUCGUGGGACCCAGGCUGGGGCCGUGUGCGAUCGGGCAAGGCAUGGAAACCAAAUAUGUACAUCCCACACGGUGAAUCCCAGAAAUCAUUUCCAUAGGUAUGUACAUCCCACACGGUGAAUCCCAGAAAUCAUUUCCGUAGGUAUGUACAUCCCACACGGUGAAUCCCAGAAAUCAUUUCUGUAGGUAUGUACAUCCCACACGGUGAAUCCCAGAAAUCAUUUCCAUAGGUAUGUUCAUCCCACACGAUGAAUCCCAGAAAUCAUUUCCGUAGGUAUGUACAUCCCACACGGUGAAUCCCAGAAAAUCAUUUCCGUAGGUAUGUACGUCCCACACAGUUCUUUGUGUGGAAACGUGUGUGCAAGGUGGCCUAACGCAAACAGUUCGCUGCCGGAAGCCGUGUAUGAUUGUUAGUUGAUCGAACACGCCUACUUUCUAGAAACCGUGCGGGUUGUUUGAGUUCAUCGCCCACGGUGCUGUCUGAGUAACCGUCUGCAAUAGAAAACCCCAAUAAGCAGGGUAAUUAGCCUAUUAUUGAUAAUCCAUGUACUAAUCAAACUGAUAUUUCUUAUAAAACACGCCAGAUAUUUCAUAUCCGAAUAAAAGCAACCAGGAUUUCAUAAUGGAAUUACAUCAGAUAGCUUCGGCACUCAGUUACACCAUUACACAGCAGCACCAAGCUUCACAUGCAGCAUCAAAAACCUUUGGAAAGUAGCAUCAUACACGUAAAUAGACAGAUGAAUCUCAUCUGGGAAACUGCAGAAGCGGAAGACAAAUAUUGAGCCUUCAGUGAUGUUGAAUGUCCUUGCAACUUUAGGCCAGUGGCUAUGGAUAAUUGCCCGCCCAACCUUUGUCCUCUUCAGCAAGACUUCAAUAUUGUACCGUGGGUGUUGAAUGAAUACCUUCCUCGCCUCUUGACCAUGCAGGUAGUUUGAGAACUAAUCAUCGGUGAACUGCAUUGAAAAGUACUGAAAACAAAGCUAUGCAUAAAUCACUGUUGUAAAUUUUGAAAUGGCGCAAGGGGUAAAAACAAGGUAAAAGAGUUGGUACCAUCCUAUAGUUGACUGAUGUCUUCUUCAUUGUGCAAACAAAGAUCUUGCUGUUAUUCCUCGCAAGUUUCUUCAUCCUAACAAUCUUUCUGAGUUUCUUGACUUGACUGAUAUUCAUGGACAUCUCAUUUCCCCAUAUGCAAAAUGGGUCGAACAGUGGGUCUAAGCCUCUGACAGCAGGACCUACAUGUGCAAGACCAAAUUGUAAGAAACCUAAAUAUUAGAAUGAUUCCUGCAACUGCACAAUAAUGUGCUAUUAGCCAAAGGACCCUGCUUGAACAAACCUCGACGGUAAACCGCAGUGUCUCCCAUUGUUUCCCUGCAACACACAUAAGGAAGAUCUUGAUCAGGUUAACUGAGAGUUGCCAUACUAUCAGUAGAAUAUGUAUUGAGUACAGCCAAAUGCGAUUGGUGUCACAUGCAUAACAAUACAAAAUUGUACCCACAGCAAAUGAAAAUCAAAUUGCAGAACUGAACCAAACAGUUAAAUGGACAGCAAACCAAAUGAACCAAAAUAGUUAACUGAGCACGACAUUGCAGAAUAGAAACAUGUACUAGAAGAUAAGAUAGUUAACAAAACAAGGAAUGCUUGAGAACAGUACUACGAAAUGUAGCAAUUGUUGGACCAAAGUGUUAACUGAACAUUACAUUUCAGAGGACCAAACUGUUAACUGAACAUCAGAUUGCAUAUUAACAUUACAGAGAACAAAUCACUAGAAGGCACUGGCAGUGGCCACGAGAAAACAUCACGAACUGUAUUUUAAAGUAGACAACCGCGCGGCGGUGUCGACAGUGGCCUCGAAGACAAGGUGCUCCUCCAAGAUAUGGCGGUCGACACGCAUGUCAGCCAUAGUGACCUCGUUCGCGCAUGCGGCCGCAUACUAUUCAGCUCCACGUUAUACUGCGUGUAAAAUGCAUGGUUGUGGGUGGCGCUUAAUUGGAGGAGGGGGGCAGUGAUUUUGGUGGAAGGUGUCGCUCCAUCAGUCGGGGCAUGUGGGACGGGAAAGGAGGAGGAUGGCGUGGGUGGGGUGUGGAUUACCUGACCAUAUCGACAAGGCCGCGCAGCAAGAAGAAGGGUCGGUGGCGAGGAGGCUGCGCAGCAAGAAGAAGGGUUGCCGGCGAGGAGGCGGCGCUGCAAGAAGAAGGGUCGCCGGCGAGGAGGCGGCACUGCAAGAAGAAGGGUAGCCGGCGAGGAGGCGGCGCUGCAAGAAGAAGGGUCGCCGGCGAGGAGGCUGAGCUGCCAGUAAGCAACAGUGAAGGUUUGAACUUGGAAAGCAAGGAGGAACAUUGGAAAUGUGGCUUUUGGUAGGAGGGAGGGGGCGGGGAGAUAGAUAUUUCCGCGGUGGCAAAAAAAAUUCGCUCGGUGUCGCGAGAAACUGGCGCGCAAGUGUGGUUCAAGCGGGGGCGGUGGACUGUAGUUGACGAAGCUUCCUGCGUAAGCCAGACAAGACGGUGCGCCAAGAUAUUUUAUAUCGCCUCCCACACGAUUCUUUCUAGUAAACUGUUUGUGGUAUACCUGAUUUUUUCAUUAUGUUUUGAAAGACAAAAUGGUGUUACGGAGGGAAAGGAUGGUGUUUGAAUUGCUAGAACAUUUACGUACAGUGAAUAUGCAACUAGUACAUAAGUGUCGUGUUUAAAUUUGGAAUUAUUCCGGGUUCGUUUGGCAUUUUUAUGCAUUAAUUGAGUUUCUGGGCAUUUAAUGUGCAUAAUUCAAAUUUGAACUACAAGCACAUGCUUCAGUGCACCAUAGUUGUUUGAAAAAUCACAUGUGUGUCCUUGGGUGAAUUUUUAGGUCACAUGCAAGAGAUGGGAGUGAAAUUCAAACAUCUGGGCAUCGUGGCUCGACCGAAAAUAUUGAGAAACUUGGUUUUUUAAUUCCUGUAAUUCCAAAAAACGCCUGAAAAUCAUGAAACUUGGCAUGGUCUCAUGGCAUGGCACGAACAUGCUGCGUUAAUUUUUUUGGCCGAAUUGGGACAAGCUUUGGUGUAAGCUUCUUGCAAACCAGAGCUUCCCUCAAGAAGGCUCGUGGUUCCGAGAGGGAACGUGCCACCUUCGUGUGCGAAAUGACAUACGUACACUGCCUUCUUCCGCCUUAACUUUUUUGCACAUCCAGAUUAGACCAAAUAGAAGUACUGUGCUAAAUUUUGGAAUUAUUCCGGGCUCGUUUCGCCUUUUUUAUACAUUAAUUGAGUUUUUGGGCAUUUAAUGUGCAUAACUCAAAUUUGAACUACAAGCACAUUCUCUAGUGCACCAAAGUUGUUUGAAAAAUCACAUGUGUGUCCUUGGGUGAAUUUCUAGGUCCCAUGCAAUAGAUGUGAGUGAAAUUCAAACAUCUGGGGGUCGUGGCUCGACCGGAAAGAUUGAGAAACUUGAUUUUUUAAUUCCUGUAAUUCCAAAACACGCCUGAAAUUCAUGAAACUUGACAUGGUGUCAUGACAUGGCACCAACAUGCUGCGGUAAUAUUUUUUGCCAAAUUGGGACAAGCUUUGGUGUAAGCUUCUUGCAAACCGGAGCUUCCCUCAAGAAGGCUCGUGGUUCCGAGAGGAAACGCGUCACCUCCGUGGUGAAACGACAUACGUACACUGCCUUCUCCCGCCUUAUUUUUUUUACACAGCCAGAUUAGACCAAAUAGAAGUACCGUGCUAAAUUUUGGAAUUAUUCCGGGCUCGUUUCGCCUUUUUUAUACAUUAAUUGAGUUUCUGGGCAUUUAAUGUGCAUAAUUCAAAUUUGAACUACAAGCACAUGCUCCAGUGCACCAAAGUUGUUUGAAAAAAUCACAUGUGUGUCCUUGGGUGAAUUUCUAGGUCCCAUGCAAGAGAUGGGAGUGAAAUUCAAACAUCUGGGCGUCGUGGCUCGGCCGAAAAUAUUGAGAAACUUGAUUUUUUAAUUCUUGUAAUUCCAAAAGACGCCUGAAAAUCAUGAAAUUUGGCAUGGUGUCAUGACAUGGCACCAACAUGCUGCGGUAAUAUUCUUGGCCGAAUUGGAACAAGCUUUGGUGUAAGCUUCUUGCAAACCGGAGCUUCCCUCAAGAAGGCUCGUGGUUCCGAGAGGGAACGUGUGUCACCUCCGUGUGCAAAACGACAUACGUACAUUGCCUUCUCCCGCCUUAUUUUUUUACACAGCCAGAUUAGACCAAAUAGAAGUACCGUGCUAAAUUUUAGAAUUAUUCCGGGCUCGUUUCGCCUUUUUUAUACAUUAAUUGAAUUUUUGGGCAUUUAAUGUGCAUAAUUCAAAUAUGAACUACAAGCACAUGCUCCAGUGCACCAUAGUUGUUUGAAAAAUCACAUGUGUGUCCUUGGGUGAAUUUCUAGGUCCCAUGCAAGAGAUGGGAGUGAAAUUCAAACAUCUGGACGUCGUGGCUCGGUCGGAAAGAUUGAGAAACUUGGUUUUUUAAUUCCUGUAAUUCCAAAACACGCCUGAAAAUCAUGAAACUUGGCAUGGUGUCAUGACAUGGCACCAACAUGCUGCGGUAAUAUUCUUGGCCGAAUUGGGACAAGCUUUGGUGUAAGCUUCUUGCAAAUCGGAGCUUCCCUCAAGAAGGCUCGUGGUUCCGAGAGGGAGUGUGUCAUCUCCGUAUGCGAAACGAUAUACGUACACUGCCUUCUCCUGCCUUAUUUUUUUACACAGCCAGAUUAGACCAAAUAGAAGUACCGUGCUAAAUUUUGGAAUUAUUCCGGGUUCGUUUGGCCUUUUUUAUACAUUAAUUGAGUUUCUGGCCAAUCAAUGUGCGUAAUCCAAAUUUGAACUACAAGCACAUGCUCCAUUGCACCAUAGUUGUUUGAAAAAUCACAUAUGUGUCAUUGGGUGAAUUUCUAGGUCCCAUGCAAGAGAUGAGAGUGAAAUUCAAACAUCUGGGCGUCGUGGCUCGGCCGGAAAGAUUGAGAAACUUGGUUUUUUAAUUCCUGUAAUUACAAAACAUGCCUGAAAAUCAUGAAACUUGGCAAGGUCUCAUCGGGAGAUGCCGUGCGGGGUAGCUAUUUGAGUACGGGAGGCGUGCGAUCAGACCCCUGAGCGUGCUCAUCGGGAGGAGAGCCCUUUGACCCCUACCCGCCGCACACCUCCCUCCCAACGUCUCCAUUAAUGGCACCCGAGCACCUAUUCUACGGCGUGGCUAUAUGUCUCACUGGACUGAGAUUUAAGAGAGAAAAAUGAAAAUCUGAAAAGAAAGUUUUGCACGGAUCUUGAUGUAAGAUUCGACGGACCUAUAUAGAAUUGACUGCGACUUAUAGCAAGCAUGGUGAAUAUAAGGACGAUGACAGUGGAUAAUAAUUGUCUUACAUAUUUAGAAACAUAAUUAAAAAAAGCCACAUGCGGCAACGCCCGAAAUACACAAGGGCAAAAGAAGAAGGAAGACAACGAUCUGGCUCGCUGGUCUCUACUUUCUUGAUGCGUUGCUGCAGGCCGCGGGAACUAGUCUCCUUGGCGAGCGGCGACGAGCUCUUUCUUGUCCUCAAGAUGCUGCUUGAGAGCAUCCACGGAUUCCUCCACCAGCCUUCUGCGCUCGAUGCGCAGCUUGUUAUUCUCGUCCAUAAGUUUCUCGACGAUGACGCCGGUCCUCUUCAACAAGGCAGUGGUCUGCUCCUGCUGCUCCGCACUUCCGACAAUAUUCGCCCUCAGCGGGUCGCGCUCGGCCUGGAGCUUCGCAUUGCUCUCAUUUAGUUGCCGGAUGAUGUCGGUAGACUGUUCAAACGAGGCAUGCAGGUCAUCCUGCAACCUCACCCACCCGGAGAUCUAAUCCAUCUGCCUAUGGACGAGGGCACGCAUGCGCCUGUAAGAGUCCUCGCCUGCCCGCGAGGCAUUUUCCCAGGCCGCGGCGGCAAGGGAGGACAUCUCUACUGCAUUCGCGGCGCGGUGGGACAUCUCUUCUGCUUCCGCGGCACGGCCGGACCAGUCUGCUACAUCGACGGUGCGACGGGUCCUCCGUGUUGCUUCGGCAGUGCGGCGGGACCUCUCUGCUGCUACUGCCGUGCGGCAGGACAUGUUGGAUGCUAUCGCGGCGAGGCGGGACAUCUCUCGUGCCCCCGCUUCCAGGUUCGCCUCUCCCUAGUCGCAAUCUCUCGACCCAGAACUGACGCUGGCCAUGGCGGAUGCAAGGGAACGAUGAUGAAUGACUUGUUUGUUUUUGACUUUUUGUGGAUGAGGAGUUGAGGAGGAAUGUGCAGUCAUCUUGGAGUAGUAGUAUUUAUAACCGCGUAGUAAUACGCUCCUAAGUGGGAAACCGUUUAGGUUUUGAUCAGUGUGAACAGGUUUGCAAUUUGGAAUGUGAUGGGACGCCUGCUCAAAAUUUACUGACGGUUAUAAGUGCGGCACUAUUCCAGGAAGGCGUAACGUGGGCACGUACGCCUUCUCGGCCGCCUACGUGGCGUUUGCACCAUAGGGUGCACCGCAAUAGGCAAUGUCAGCACAUGUCUUUUAAUUAGAAUGGGUGUGCCCGUCUAGCGCACAUACGUUGAUCUAUCUAACUAUUUCAGUUUGUUGUGGCUAAUCGCAAACAGUUCAUCCAUGUGAAGUGUAUGCCAUCGAUCGCAGACACUUUGAUCUGGCUUACCCGUUUCUGUUCUACUGCCUAAUCGCAAACAGUUAAUCCUUCUGAAGCGUAUGCCCUCAAUCACACACACCUUGAUCUGGCUGACCGUUUCUUUUGUGUUGCCUAAUCACAAAUAGUUCAUCCGAGUGAACCGUAUGUUGUAUAUCGCACACACCUUCAUCUGGCUGCCCGUUUCUUUUGUGUUGCCUAAUCACAAACAGUUCAUCCGAGUGAAUCGUAUGCUCUAUAUCGCACACGCCUUCAUCAGGCUUCCCGUUUCUUUUGUUCCGCCUCAUCGCAAACAGUUCCUUGGACUGAACCUUAUGCCCUGGAUCGCACACGCAACUAAAAUCUGAACCGUGUUUGAUGCAUCCUCCAUCGCAAACGUUUUCACCUUUUUGACGGUUUUCAUACAGCACCGUUUGCGAUUAUGUUAUCGCACACAGUUUCUCGAAGGGUCUCUGAUCGUAGUGUCGCGUUAGCAGCAUCCUACAGUAGUGCGUUGUCGGUGAUGACUCUAUUUGGCACACCAAAACGGCAGACUAGCCCCUUGAAGAACUUCACGGCUGAUUGUGCUAUCACCUUUCUCACUGCUUCCACUUCCGGCCACUUCGUGAACUUGUCGAUGGCAACGUACAAGUACUCAAAGCCCCCGACAGCACGGGGAAAGGGGCCCAGUAUGUCGAGCCCCCAGACCGAGAAUGGCCAGGAAAGAUGGAUGUUUUGGAGAGCUUGAGCUGCUUGAUGAAGCUUCUUUGAAUGAAACUGACACGCUUCACACUUAGUUACUAGUGCCGUUGCAUCCUGGAGGGCAGUGGGCCAGAAGAAACCUUGCCGGAAUGCCUUGCCGUCAAGGGCUCUCGACCCUAUGUGGGAGCCACAUAUGCCUCUGUGUAUCUCUGCCAACAGCUCCAGUCCGUCCUCCCGGGGAAUGCACUUCAAUCUCAAACCGUUUGGUCUUUUUCUGUACAAAAUGUCGUCAACGAAUUGGUACAUGGCAGACCGACGGGCUACUUUCUGCGCUUCUUCCUGCUCCCCAGGGAGCUUCCCUGUUUGGAGAAAUCGAACGGUAUGUUGUGCCCAUGCCGGAGCCUGAGGCUCGACGGCAAGGACUAAAGGCAUCUCUUCUGCUGUGGGAGCGGUCGUCUCUAUGGCAAGGGCUUGAGGCCCUGCCGGAGACUGUUGCUCCUCGGCAAUCUUAGUGUCUCCGGCAACAUCCUUGCCGGCGGCUCCUGGGAGCUCGACGGGAAAGUACUUGCCGGGGCUCAACUUCCUUCGCUUAUCCUGCCUUGCCGAUGGUUCCACGGACGGCUUAGUUAGUUGGAGCACAAAGGUCCCUAGUUCCACAGGUAACUUUAAGCCAGCACGUUUUGACAGGUCCUCAGCAAUGUUGUUCUCUGCUCGAGGAACAUGCUCUGCUUGCAGACCGUCAAAACGUUCCUCCAACUUUCUCACUUGAUCUACGUAGGCCUCCAUCAACGGGCUAUGAUAAUCUUUGUUGGCUUGACGACAAGCUGUGAGUCACCUCUGACGAUGAACUUCCUUAUUCCGAGGUCCGCCGCAAUCCUGAGACCGGCAAGCAGCCCUUCGUACUCAGCGGUGUUGUUCGUUGACCUCUCCCUGGGAAAGUGCAUCUGGACUACAUACUUGAGGUGCUCUCCGGUGGGUGCAACAAGCAGCACACCAGCACCGGCGCCUUGCAGCGAGAAAGCCCAUCAAAGUACAUAAUCCAGUCGCGACUUGUUUCCUUGCCGAGGAGAGUAGUCUCUUGAACCUCUUCGUCGGGUGUCGAGGUCCAUUCCGCAAUGAACUCCGCCAAGACUCUACUCCGAAUUGUUGUAGUACUCUCAAACUUCGUACCAAAGCUCGACAGUUCCAAUGCCCAUUCCACAAUCCUCCCGGUUGCAUCUUAGUUGGGUAAGAUCCUUUGCAACGGGAGGCGGGUGACGACGGUGAUCUCAUGUGCUUGAAAAUAAUGACGCAACUUCCUCGAGGCCAUAAGGAGGCCGAAGAGCAAUUUCUGCACACCGGAGUACCUUGAUCUAGCCCCCUGCAGGAGGGAACUAACAAAGUAAUCUGGGUGCUGCAUCAUCUUCUUCUUCUGUACCACUUCAUUUGCUUGUGCCGUUUUCGCCCCGCCGGCAUCAGACUCUGCCGGGGGUCCUGUCGGUGUCAAAACCGGCGGAUCUCGGGUAGGGGGUCCCGAACUGUGCGUCUAAGGCGGAUGGUAACAGGAGGCGGGGGACACGAUGUUUACCCAGGUUCGGGCCCUCUCGAUGGAGGUAAUACCCUACUUCCUGCUUGAUUGAUCUUGAUGAUAUGAGUAUUACAAGAGUUGAUCUACCACGAGAUCGUAGAGGCUAAACCCUAGAAGCUAGCCUAUGGUAUGAUUGUUGUUGUCCUACGGACUAAACCCUCCAGUUUAUAUAGACACUGGAGGGGGCUAGGGUUACACAGAGUCGGUUACAAGGGAGGAGAUCUACAUAUCCGUAUUGCCAAGCUUGCCUUCCACGGCAAGGAGAGUCCUAUCCAGACACGGGACGAAGUCUUCAAUCUUGUAUCUUCAUAGUCCAACAGUCCGGCUAAAGUAUAUAGUCCGGCCGUUCGAGGACCCCCUAAUCCAGGACUCCCUCAGUAGCCCCUGAACCAGGCUUCAAUGACGAUGAGUCCGGCGCACAGAUUUGUCUUCGGCAUUGCAAGGCGGGUUCUUCCUCCGAAUACUCCAUAGAAGAUCUUGAACACAAGGACAGUGUCCGGCUCUGCAAAACAAAUUCCACAUACCACCGUAGAGAGAAUGAUAUUUCCACAAAUCUAAUCUGCUGACACAUUCGGCAGCAUGACAUCAUACCACGGCCCGGUCAUUAUUCGAACCGUUUUUCUCAACCAGCUAUUGCACAUAUUGCGAGGAGGUUUUCUUGGCACGUCUUGUUGAAGCAGAGAUCGUGUCCCCUUAUCACGGGAUUCUCAUCAAUACGGAUGUGGGUAACCCAACCGCGCCAUCAAUUACGACGCUUGGGGAAUAAGCGAGUUUUAGUAGGCAGGUGGGGAGGCGUAUAGUUUCUUCCGCCCUUAUAAAGGGACAAGGAUUCCUCUUUUUACCCACGCCUUCUUCCUCCUUGCUCACCCAUUCGUGCGCACUCGAGCUCCAGCACGCAGGUUCACGUUUUUCUCCUCAAACCACUCCAAGCAUGUCCGGAGCAGGAGGCAAGUGGAUGGUCUCCUCCGUCACGGAGGAGAACAUCACAAAGCUACGGGGAGCUGGAUAUCUGGCCGCGGACAUCGCACACUGGCUGCCAGAUGCGGGGCAGAUCAUCCCUACUCCAGAACCCCAUGAGAGGAUGGUUUUUCUUACCCACUUCGUCCGUGGACUGGGAUUUCCCCUCCACCCGUUUGUCCGCAGGCUCAUGUUCUAUUAUGGGAUGGAUUUUCACGACCUGGCCCCCAAUUUCAUCCUCAACAUCUCGGCGUUUAUCGUCGUGUGCGAGGCCUUCCUCCACAUCAAGCCCCACUUCGGCCUGUGGCUGAAGACCUUCAAUGUUAAGCCGAAGGUGGUGGUCGGCCAGCAAGCAAAGUGCGGAGGCGCCAUGGUGGGCAAAAUGCCUAACGUCACCUGGCUCAAAGGCUCCUAUGUGGAGACCAUAAAGGGGUGGCAAUCGGGGUGGUUCUACAUCACCGAGCCGCACGACACCAACUGGGUGGCGGCCCCCGAAUUCCGAUCCGGAAUCCCCACGCGGCUCACCUCCUGGAAAGAGAAGGGCCUGUCCUGGGGUUCCUCGGUAGAGCUGACCGGACUCCAGACAUGCAUCAAAAACAUGAUGAGCAAGAAAAUCAAGCUUGUCAACGUGGUCCAGGUCAUACUCUUCCACCGGAUCCUCCCGUGUCAAUGACGGGCAUUCAAUUUGUGGGAGUUCGACCCGGCCGAGCACCAGACGCUGUGAGAGCUCUUCGACACGACGCACAAGGACGUCUGGAAGGUGCUGUUCAAGGGCGCCGAGGUACCUCCUCCCCUUACCGAGGACCGCGGACUCAGCGCAAAGCGCCCUGCCAAUCCGGUAAGUUUUUUUAUAUCUCAUAAGAUGUUUAUUUUCCCCAGUUUAACCAUGUGCGGGAUCUAAGCCUCCACGCUAUUUAACAGGACUGGGUAGAGACAUCGGAGCAGAUUGAUUGCCCAGCCCCCCUUCCUGAAGAUCCAGCAGAUGCUCUCCUAACGGAGAUGCUGGUUCCGGCGCCUUACAAGGUGCCGGUGAAGAAGGCCAAGAAGAAGGCCACGGGGACCCGGAAGGGUCUCCGGCGCAAGGUUAUAUCGGACUCAUCGUUCGAAAACAUCGAGGCGUACUCCUCCCACGAAAACGAGGAGGAGGAAGAGGAAAGUUCUCCCCCCCAGCCGGUGGAGACAAGAAAAGGAAGGCCGCCCCAUCCGGGGAGGCCAAAGGGUCCAAGAAGGGAAGGACCCUCCUCCUGGACUGCUCCACGACGGCCGCCUAUAGCGACGACGAGUGGUUGCCCAGGGACAAGCCCCUGGCGAAGUCGUAAGUAUCCGGAUACCAUAGUAAUUCAUGGUAUGUUUUAUUGUACUGCCUCUCAUCACGCUGAACAUGAUUAUGCAGUCCGUCCUGAGCCCGCAUCGACGUAUCUUUGUCGGAUGAUUCUUUGGGCCUAUCGGACCUGAGCAGUGAUUCUCUCCCUACCGCCUUCUCCCCCCGCCCUACGGACAACGCCGAGGUGUUGUCCCAAAGGGAACUGAACCAGGGGGGACAGUUCCGGAGGCGCCUCAAGGCGACAUUCCGGGCGCUGGGCGCACGAGGGGCAAGACUCCCCCGGGCCCUAACGCCGGGGGCAGCAAGUCUAGCCCCAAUCCGAAUACGGUGCCGGAACCUCCAGUGGUUCCUGAUUCUGUCAGGCAACCCCUCGCUAAGAGGGGCAAGCUGUCUGUGUCGGUGGCCUCUGUCCAUCUAGAGGCACCGGACAACUUGCUGGAAGCGCUUCACGGCGCUUCCAUCGACGAAGAGCACCGCACUAUCAUGAGUGCGGUGAUCGAGAAGGUUCAGUCCGCCAAAAGCGGGCUAACUGAAGCCUGUGCCAGCCUCCUAACAGGCUUUCAGGAAAGUAAUCAAAUUAUAAGAAAAUAUUACCGCAUAGACAGUAGCCCCUGAUGCUCUGUUUGGCGUUCGCGAAGAAAGGCCGAAUAGAGGAUCAAAUAAUGACCGCAGGAGUCUAAUCAGAAUAUGUCUAUGUGCAUAUGCAGGCUUCAUUGCUGGCCGCUGCCGCACGCACUGCGGAGGUCGCUGCACUGAAGCAGGACCUUGAGUGGUCCAAGGAAGAGCUCGGCCUUACCAAGAGGCAGCUCGAAGAGAACAAAGGUAAGCGAUACCCCGUCUGUAUAUUAAAAAGAAAUUUGGUUGUAAAAUAAUAGGAUCGCCAUGAAUGUUGCUAGGGGCCACUGUCGAAGUGGCGACCCUUCAGAAGGCGCUAUCCGAGGCCGAAGACAAAGCGGCCAAGGACCGCAUCAAGCGAGAAAAGCAAGAAGCCCGGGUGGGCGAGGUGCAGCAAGAGCUCCAGGCUCUCACCAAAAAACAUGAGUCCUUGGAGCUUGACUCUAAGACGCGAGAGUCCGAGCUUGCGAAGGCCCUCGAAAGCGCACAAAAUGCCAAGGCCGAAGCCCAGAAGGCCCUCUACGAAAUUGAGGCGGUUAAGAAGAUAGCAGCGGGUAAGGCAUUCAUUAUGCAAAGCAAGCAUGUGAAGGAAACUUUCCUUUUACUUACCCGAGUUCGGAGCUCUCCAGGAGCGUUCGCAGAUCUUCCCCGCAGUGUGUUGGAUGCCGUGGAGUUCUACCGGGCUGAGGAGGGGAGCUCGACGGAGAAGUUGUUCUGGUCUCAGUAUACUGGGGCCGAACACCCAAUGCCCUUGAGCGACCAGAUGAAGCAACUGGUCGAGCUCCACAAGGCGGCCGAACAGGCCAUGAAGGGUCUUAUAGCCCGGAUGUGGCCUGGCGAGCCCCUGCCUGAUAGCUACUUCGGUCUCAUGAGGCAGCUUGUGAACGCCUGCCCACGGCUUGAAGUCAUAAAGCGGUCCGUCUGCAUCGAGGGUGCGCGUAGGGCUUUUGCCCGGGCGAAGGUGCACUGGGCGAAGCUGGACGCCGUAAAGCUGGUGAAGGAGGGGCUGCCGGAAGGCAAGGAGCAUCAACACCCCGAAAUGUAUUAUGACAGUGUCCUGAAGGGUUCCCGCCUUGUGGCGGAGGAAUGUGCUAAGGAUGUAAUAUUCGAAUGAAUGUACUCAUGUGAUCCUGUAAUGUGAAACGAGUUCAUUUGUGCUGUGCAACGCUUGUUAAUUUAAAAUAUUACCUUCUGUGCGGUCGUUUAUGAAAUCUGAGGGUUGGCCAGUCGUCGGUUUCUGCCCCCAUGUAACUAGUACUGGGGUGUUCGGGGUAAACCUGAACACUCUUUAUCCCAAUUUUCGGUCCUUCGAAGGAGGUGUUCAGCACAUCGAACCAGGCAAUCGGACUAUAAAGCUUUAUCACCCUCACUUAGCCAUAGAAGUCUACAAUUUUAAAUUUUGGCGAAGCCCCUAGUAUUCGGAAGGCCGAAUUUGGGGCGCUAUAUACGCCUAAGUCGGGCAAGGCCGACUCCUCGCCCGAAGCGGAAAAAGUUUUUAAGGACUUGAGACCUCGUGAACAGCGACCAGCUCUCGCCUCAUCGUGACAGUCAGUUUUCGGCUUUCUCUACUGAGGUGCUCGUCCGGAAGAACCGGGACACAAUCGCAGUAGUUCUCCCAGCGCUACCUUAGCCGAUUUUGCGGAACAUAAGGUACCAAAACAUGGGAGCCGGGCAAACCCAACUAUCGACCCAAGACAUGAUUCGGAGCUGAUGCAUAUAAUGCUAUAAGUUCGGGGUGCCGCACUGUCGAAAGUGUUCGGACUUCUCACGCCGUAUUAUGGGGUAUGCUGAAGCCCCUGGCGUACUAGUCGUACUAGAAUGUACGGGUGCAAUCUGUCGUAAUUAAGCAGACAAGAGAAAGAAAAAAAAGAAAGGGUAAUGCAAUAAUAGGCUAACGCUACGCAUUGUUAUUAAAUAGUACGUCAAAGCGUACGGAUACAAGUAGUGCAAUAAGAAAAAAAAAGACUAUUUGACAUGUCCUAUCCAAGGGCAAGCUGCGUAUGGGUAUUUAAAACAGGUAUUUCGAUCGUUAGCAGAGACCACCUGGGGAUUCCCUUGUACGUCAGAGCUUCUUGCUUCCUUGGUAUUUUCUUCUCGUAGUGCAUCCAGCAAUCAGACUACCGAAAAGGGGUUCCAGAGAGUAAGGUCCUGAAAGAGAAAAUGAUGAAGGUAUACGGCUCCUGGGGCGGUUGAGCCGCAUUGUGGGACGUGCCGUAGUGGUGCCUCCGCCGAUGCCCAUGGUAUCUUGAGUGCGUAGUUAUGUACGCGUGGCACGAAUCUCGCCACUUGACUGGGACUAGGACGGAGGCCGAAUUGCUAGUCGAGCUCAAAAUGUGCCUGUCGAUCCGCCUGCGGGGUACUCCGGACUCGCUUGAAGGUGUCCGGGGUCUUUUUCGCCGAAUUGGCGGUUUGCCUAAUAAGGCAGCUUUGCACUUCUGCUGCGAGGGCCGCAGUGUGCUCCUCCGUGCGGAGCGAGCGCUCUGUGUUUCCAUUGACUGUUAUUACCCCACGAGGUCCUGGCAUUUUGAGCUUGAGGUAUGUAUAAUGCGGUACCGCAUUGAAUCUUGCAAAUGCGGUUCGCCCGAGCAGUGCGUGAUAGCCACUACGGAACGGGACGAUAUCGAAGAUUAACUCCUCGCUUCGGAAGUUGUCCGGAGAUCCGAAGACCACAUCCAGUGUGAUUGAGCCCGUGCAAUGGGCCUCUACACCUGGGAUGACGCCUUUAAAGGUGGUUUUAGUGGGUUUGAUCCUCGAGGGGUCUAUACCCAUUUUACGCACUGUAUCCUGAUAGAGCAGGUUCAGGCUGCCGCCGCCGUCCAUAAGGACUCGAGUGAGGUGAAAUCCGUCAAUGAUGGGGUCGAGGACCAAUGCGGCAGAUCCGCCAUGACGGAUACUAGUGGGGUGGUCCCUCGAUCGAAGGUGAUCGGACAAGAGGACCAUGGGUUGAACUUUGGGGCGACAGGCUCCAUCGCAUAGACGUCCCUUAGUGCAUGCUUCCGUUCCCUCUUGGGAAUGUGGGUCGCGUAUAUCAUGUUCACCGUUUUCACUUGUGGGGGGAACCUCUUCUGUCCUCCCGUGUUCGGCGGCCGGGGCUCCUCCUCGUCGUCGCUAUGCAGCCCCUUGUCCUUGUUUUCGGCAUUCAACUUGCCGGCCUGCUUGAACACCCAGCAUUCUCUGUUGGUGUGAUUGGCUGGCUUAUCGGGGGUGCCGUGAAUUUGACAUGAUCGAUCGAGUAUGCGGUCCAAACUGGACGGGCCCGGAGUACCUCUUUUGAAUGGCUUUUUCCGCUGACCGGAUUUAGAGCCACUGAAUCCGGCAUUGACUGCCGUAUCUUCGGCGUUAUCGCCAUUGUUGCGGCGCUUAUGUCUGUUACGACGUGGUCUGUCGUUAGUAUCUUUGGUAGCUGAAGUGCCCGGAUUCCUUGAUGUGUUGUUGCUGCGAGCCAGCCAGCUAUCCUCGCCCGCGCAAAAGCGGGUCAUGAGUGUCGUGAGGGCUGCCAUAGACUUCGGCUUCUCCUGGCCGAGGUGUUGGGCGAGCCACUCGUCACGGAUGUUAUGCUUGAAUGCCGCUAAGGCCUCUGCAUCCGGACAGUCGACAAUUUGGUUUUUCUUAGUUAGGAACCUGGUCCAGAAUUUCCUGGCCGAUUCCCCUGGCUGCUGAAUUAUAUGGCUCAAGUCAUCAGCAGCUGGUGGCCGCACAUAAGUACCCUGGAAGUUGUGAAGGAAUGCAUCUUCCAAAUCCUCCCAACUGCCAAAAUGGAGUCUGCUGGCAAGCUAUUCGGCCAAUGCCGAGCUGGUCCUUUGAGUUUUAGUGGGAGGUACUUGAUGGCAUGUAGAUCAUUACCGCGAGCCAUGUGGAUGUGGAGGAGGAAGUCCUCGAUCCAUACCACGGGGUCUGUUGUACCAUCAUAUGAUUCAAUAUUUACGGGUUUAAAACCCUCUGGGAAUUCGUGAUCCAUUAUUUCAUCAGUGAAGCAUAGGGGGUGUGCGGCGCUGAUACGUCUCCAACGUAUCUAUAAUUUUUGAUUGCUCCAUGCUAUAUUAUAGGGGGUGUGAAGCAUAGGAAGUGUGAGUAGUUUACCUCAGACCUUCGGGUCCAUAGUUAGUAGCUAGAUGGCUUCUUCUCUCUUUUUGGAUCUCAAUACAAUGUUCUCCCCCUCUCUCAUGGAGAUCUAUUCGAUGUAAUCUUCUUUUUGCGGUGUGUUUGUUGAGACCGAUGAAUUGUGGGUUUAUGAUCAAGAUUAUCUAUGAACAAUAUUUGAAUCUUCUCUGAAUUCUUUUAUGUAUGAUUGGUUAUCUUUGCAAGUCUCUUCGAAUUAUAAGUUUGGUUUGGCCUACCAGAUUGAUCUUUCUUGCAAUGGGAGAAGUGCUUAGCUUUGGGUUCAAUCUUGCGGUGUCCUUUCCCAGUGACAGUAGGGGCAGCAAGGCACGUAUUGUAUUGUUGCCAUCGAGGAUAACAAGAUGGGUUUUUUAUCAUAUUGCAUGAAUUUAUCCCUCUACAUCAUGUCAUCUUGCUUAAGGCAUUACUCUGUUUCCAUGAACUUAAUACUCUAGAUGCAUGCUGGAUAGCGGUCGAUGAGUGGAGUAAUAGUAGUAGAUGCAGGCAGGUGUCGGUCUACUUGUCUCGGACGUGAUGCCUAUAUACAUGAUCAUACCUAAAUAUUCUCAUAACUAUGCUCAAUUCUGUCAAUUGCUCAACAGUAAUUCGUUCACCCACCGUAAAAUACUUAUGCUCUUGAGAGAAGCCACUAGUGAAACCUAUGGCCCCCGGGUCUAUCUUCAUCAUAUUAAUCUUCCAACACUUAGUUAUUUCCUUUGCUUUUAUUUUACUUUGCAUCUUUAUCACAAAAAUACCAAAAAUAUUAUCCUAUCAUAUCUAUCAGAUCUCACUCUCGUAAGUGACCGUGAAGGGAUUGACAACCCCUUAUCGCGUUGGUUGCGAGGAUUUAUUUGUUUUGUGUAGGUGCGAGGGACUCGGGCGUAGCCUCCUACUGGAUUGAUACCUUGGUUCUAAAAAACUGAGGGAAAUACUUAUGCUAGUUUGCUGCAUCACCCUUUCCUCUUCAAGGGAAAACCAACGCAGUGCUCAAGAGGUAGCAAGAAGGAUUUCUGGCGCCGUUGCCGGGGAGGUCUACGCAAAAGUCAACAUACCAAGUACCCAUCACAAAUCCCUUAUCUCCCGCAUUACAUUAUUUGCCAUUUGCCUCUCGUUUUCCUCUCCCGCACUUCACCCUUGCCGUUUUAUUCGCCCUCUCUUUUUCAUUCACCUCUUUUUCGCUUGCUUGUCGUUAUGGCUAGUCCUCUAUCUUCUCCGUUGUCUCCCGAGGAUGAAGUUCUAAAUUUUAAACAAAGGGAGGGAGAAAAUCUAAAAGAUUCUUGGUAUAGAAUUUGCAAUGCUCAAAAUAGAUAUGCCAGGAAGCAAUCUACUUCCGUUCUUCUCCGCAAUUUUUAUGUAGGCGCUAAUCCUUGGUAUAGAUAUAUUCUUGAUACCAUUACCGGAGGGAAUUUCUUGGGUAGCCAUACUUUUGACUCUUAUAAUGCUAUGAUAGAUUUAUUUGGCUCACCACCUCUUUUGGUUAAUGGAACUAUGUUAACUUUGGAGCAUGUAAUGCAAAGACUUGAAAUUAUUGAAAAUAAAGUUGCUACCGUAGAGUUAAUUGAAAAUCUGGAUAAAAAGAUCCACAACCAAAUUACCCAAUAUGGAUCUAAGGUAGGAUUCACUUUGAAAAAUAUUAAGGAGAAGGAACCCAUAGUUAAUGAGAGAAUAAAUCAAGAUUCCACUAGAAUCGAUAAACUUGAGGGUAUCAUUACCAACUUGGGAACCAAUUUUUCUUCUGUAAAGAAUACUCCAAAUCCUCCUACUAAAAUUCCCAAGCUUAUGUAUGUUCCUAAAAAUAAGGGUGAAUCCUCUAGUAAGGAAACUGCGGAUCUCAAAUCUAUAAGUAUUCAUCCCAAUCUUUUUGCCUUCAUUAAGGAACCAUUUGCUACGAAUGAAGUUUUCGAUCUUGUGCCUAAAAGUUUGAUAAUUACUAAAAAUAAAGAAAUUCCUAAGGAUGAUAGAUGUCUCAUUGAAGAAUUGCCUACCAAAGAUGGCAAUACCUAGAUCUAUCCUUGCUUUUAUGCCUAACUAGGGGCGUUAAACGAUAGCGCUUGUUGGGAGGCAACCCAAUUUUAUUUUUAGUUUUUUGCUUUUUGCUUCUGUUUAGGAAUAAAUAUUUGAUCUAGCCUCUGGUUAGAUGUGUUUUUAUGUUUCAAUUAGUGUUUGUGCCAAGUUAAACCUAUAGGAUCUUCUUGGAUGAUAGUUAUUUGAUCUUGCUGUAAUUUCCAGAAACUUUCUGUUCACAAAAAUAAUUGUUAAAAAUCACCAGAACGUGAUAAAAUAGUGAUUCCAAUUGCUGCUGAUCAAUAAACAAAUUGCCUAGGUCUUCCUAUUUUUGCUGAUUUUUUGGAGUUCCAGAAGUUUGCGUUAGUUACAGAUUACUACAGACUGUUCUGUUUUUGACAGAUUCUGUUUUUCGUGUGUUCUUUGCUUAUUUUGGUGAAUCUAUGGCUAGUAAAAUAGUUUAUAAACCAUAGAGAAGUUGGAAUACAGUAGGUUUAACACCAAUAUAAAUAAAGAAUGGGUUCAUUACAGUACCUUGAAGUGGUCUUUUGUUUUCUUUCGCUAACGGAGCUCACGAGAUUUCUGUUAAGUUUUGUGUUGUGAAGUUUUCAAGUUUUGUGUUGUGAAGUUUUCAAGUUUUGGGUGAAAGAUUUUUGAUGGAUUAUGGAACAAGGAGUGGCUAGAGCCUAAGCUUGGGGAUGCCCAUGGCACCCCCAAGAUAAUCUAAGGACACCAUAAAGCCAAAGCUUGGGGAUGCCCCGGAAGGCAUCCCCUCUUUCGUCUACUUCCAUCGGUAACUUUACUUGGAGCUAUAUUUUUAUUCACCACAUGAUAUGUGUUUUGCUUGGAGCGUCUUGUAUGAUUUGAGUCUUUGCUUUUUAUUUUACCACAAUCAUCCUUGCUGUACACACCUUUUGAGAGAGCCAAACAUGAUUUGGAAUUUUGUUAGAAUACUCUAUGUGAUUCGCUUAUAUCUUUUGAGUUAUAUAGUUUUGCUCUAGUACUUCACUUAUAUCUUUUAGAGCACGGUGGUGGAUUUGUUUUAUAGAAACUAUUGAUCUCUCAUGCUUCACUUAGAUUAUUUUGAGAGUCUUAUAUAGCAUGGUAAUUUGCUUAAAUAAUCCUAAUAUGCUUGGUAUUCAAGAUUAGUAAAAACUUUCUUAUGAGUGUGUUGAAUGCUAAGAAAAGUUUGAUGCUUGAUAAUUGUUUUGAGAUAUAAAGAUGGUGAUAUUAGAGUCAUGCUAGUUGAGUAGUUGUGAAUUUGAGAAAUACUUGUGUUAAAGUUUGUGAUUCCCGUAGCAUGCACGUAUGGUGAACCAUUAUGUGAUGAAGUCGGAGCAUGAUUUAUUUAUUGAUUGUCUUCCUUAUGAGUGGCGGUCGGGGACGAGCGAUGGUCUUUUCCUACCAAUCUAUCCCCCUAGGAGCAUGCGCGUAAUACUUUGCUUUGAUAACUUGUACAUUUUUGCAA
rnacentral:lncRNA from 1 species